GUAUCCUUCAUUCAAGUUGGUUAAUGGACUUGUUAUCAGGGAAUUACUGGUCAGCACAACAAAAUAAGUCUGUAAAGUCAAGCACGAAUAGAAAAGGUCAAUCUUUUCAAUAACAAUGUAAAGCACAAGAAUUUAUGUUAUAGUGUAAAAUUGUUGUCCUAAAACAGUAUGCAAGUCAUUAUCAAAUUAUUAUACUGUACUGAAAGAUGAGCACAACUAAACUAUGUACUUCCUCCGUUUCACAAUGUAAUUCAUUCUAGCAUUUCCCACAUUCAUAUUAGAGAGAUGCUUGAAUGAACAUCAAUAUGAAUGUGAGAAAUGCUUGAAUGAUUUACAUUGUUGGGAAUCUCUUAUGAUGACCUUCGAUUAUGCUCUAGGGUGUGUUUUGUUGGGAAUGGAAGGGGACGAAUUAUGCUCUUGUCCAUUCUAUGCUGAAAGUCCUGAGUUUCCCACUUGAGUAUACUCCUAUGGUCCUCCACUUGAGUAUACUCCUAUGGUCCUAUAUGCUGCUGAUCUGUUCGCGUGGGUAUCAUGCACGGUGGAGUAGUUUAUUUCUCUAGCUUAAUUGUUAAGUGCUCUUUAGUCAAAGCUUCCUUGGUCGCCAAGGCUACGAAUUAACGUUAUUGCCGUACUACUUAAUUACUAAAAGAUGAUCGAGGGAAACAGCGUCGAUCUGCAAUGAUUAACUCUCAAGAGUCAAGAGUCAAGUCAACUAAUCAUCUCUAUUCGUACCUCUAUGUCGGUUUGGCUACUGUGGGCUAAGCCCAUGAUGCUUGGCCUAACCCCAGCAUCUGUAUUUGGAAUUCUUUUUUGGGAGUACCUAUACAUCUUUCGAAAGAUUUCUAUGGUCGUAUCACACAGAUUUUUAAUCUUUGGAUUAAAAUCCGAUAGAUAUAAUAAAAAGCAAAAAGCAAUUAAGAAACACCAUAAUGGACACUAAAUUACCAUAUCCUCAAGAAAAAGACCAAAUCCAAUACAAAAUUUAAAAUUUACAUGCGUAGAUUCAAAAAUUACAGUGCAACUUACAAAAGUUACAGUGUAAGUUUUAUAAAUUACACUGUAACUUAUAAGAAAAUGCACUGUAAAUUUGAGUGAGAAAAUCGAGUGAGAGAUAAGAAAAAAAAUCUUUCGAGUGAGAUAUAGCAAAAUUGUUCUUUUUUUUACUAACCAUAAGAAAAGAUCAUACGAUAUUCAGUGAUUUGGCAUAUGAAGAAAUCAACAAAAAUAACUACAAAUGGUAGCGUGAAAAGUGUACUACCUGCUAAUGCUAUGGUUCAAAGACGAGGUUAGAUGCAUAUGGCCAUCCAAAUACUUGAAAAUAAAACCGACGGCCAUCACCCAUCUAAACCUAUCCCACUCAACCAAACUCAUUAAUCAUUAUGGAGGUAUACUAAGCAUCGUAUGGAGUAAUCAACCCGAUCUUUUCAUUAUCACCUCUGUCUUAAAAAGACCCUUUUUCUUUUCAUAUUUCAGCCAAAUCAAUACAAACCUAAACAAAUCAUAAUACCCUCCAUAACUCCACGUAAUAACUAAUAUAAUGUUUGAUAAAUAAGAUAUGGAUUUUCAUCCCUCGAGGGGAUGUCCCUCCUUGACAACAUAGAUUAAUAUAAAAUAUUUCACUCGAACAAUAUGUAAGACCAAAUUCAACUUCUACAAGUUGCAACAAAAAGAACAAACUAAACUGAAAAUAGUUAUCGUACAUUCAUAGCUAUAUUUGUUAUAACUUGUAGAAAUUGAAUUUUAACUUGUAUUUUUGUGGAUUGAUAUAUUUCGUACUAAUCUAUCUUACUAUUUUUUUUAAAAAAAAAGUUUAUAUAUGCACGAAACAAGAGGAUAUCCCCUCAAGGGAUGAAAUCACUUUCCCUGAUAAACAUGCUAAUGAAAUUCAAGGUAAAUUCUGUAUCUUAAUCAAGUAAGAACGGGGCUAGGUCGGUUCCGUAGCAAGUGUCCCGAGCUCCUUAUAUAUACAUAGCCUCGACAUGGCCAUGGCAAUUCGAGUUCCAUUCGAACACGAAGCCAUCUAUCUAGCUUGCAAACACACAUGGGGGCGCCUCUGAAGCUGACCUGGGCCUCGCUCGGCUCGCUGUUCGCCACCGCCGUUCUGGUGCGCACGGCGGCGCGCGACUUCCUCCCGCCGGAGGCGCACGGCCUGCUCCGCGCGCUGCUGUCGCGCGCCGCCGCCGCCCUCGUGACGCCGUGCGACGCCAUCAUCGUCCACGAGACCGACGCCAACGGCGUGCCCAACGAGCUGUACGAGGCGGCGCAGCUCUACCUCGGCGCGCGCUGCCUCGCCACGGCGCCCGCGAUGCACCUCCACAAGGCGCACGGCGCGGCGGCCGCCGUGGCGUCGCUGCCGGGCUCCCACGCCACGCGCGACGCCUUCCGCGGCGUCCGCGUGCUGUGGACGUCGCAGCUCGACGGGAACGCGAGCUCGUCGUUCGGGGGAAGCUUCUCCUCCUCCUCCUCCCGCCGGUGGGCGCCGCCCCCGAUCGACGGCUGGCAACGGUGCCUGCGGCUCGAGUUCCGGCGACGCGACCGCGACGUCGUGCGCGACGCGUACAUCCCCUUCGUUCUCGAGGAGGCGGCGGCGCUGCGGGCAAAGUUGCGGGAGAGGAAGCUCUACACCAACAACGGCGGUGGUGGCGGCUGUUACUACGGCGACGGCGGCGCCAUGGACGAUCACCAGAUGCUCUGGAAGGCGCACAAGUUCUCGCACCCGUCCACGUUCGACUCGCUCGCCAUCGACCCGGCGCUGCGCGACGACAUCCGAGCGGACCUGCUCCGGUUCGUGCGCAGCCGCGAGCACUACGCGCGCGCCGGCCGCGCGUGGAAGCGCGGGUACCUGCUCCAUGGCCCGCCCGGCACCGGCAAGACCAGCCUCGUCGCCGCCAUCGCCAACCUCCUCGAGUUCGACAUCUACGACCUGGAGCUCACCACAGUGACCUCCAACUACGACCUCCGGAGGCUGCUGGCCUCGACGCGGCCCAAGUCGGUCAUCGUCGUCGAGGACGUCGACUGCUCCCUCGGACUGUUCGACCGGACGCGCGCGCCGGCGCCGCCGUCGUCCCAAGACGACGCCGACGCCGACGCCGACGAGCAGCGCAACCGUGCGAUGCUGCAACACGCGCUAACCCUUCUGCCGCCGGCGGUCGAGGCGGCCAUGCGGCGGGAGACGAUCAGCCUCUCCGGCGUGCUCAACUUCGUCGACGGCCUCUGGUCGUCGUGCGUCGGCGAGAGGCUGGUGGUGUUCACCACCAACCACACGGACAGGCUCGACCCGGCGCUGCUCCGGCCCGGCCGCAUGGACCGCAAGGUCGAGCUCGGCUACUGCAAGGCCCCGGCGCUGCGUGUGCUGGCCAAGAACUACCUCGGCGACGACGACGACGCCGACGACCACGACGAGAUCAUGGGUGAGGCGGGGAGGCUGCUCGAUGAGGUGCAGGUGACGCCGGCGGACGUCGCCGAGGUGUUCAUGGGAUGCGACGGCGACGACGGAGCCCACGUCGCGCUGCAGAAGCUCGUGGACGAGCUCAACGCUAGGAAAGGAAAAAUGAAUGGGCCUAAAUGACUUUAUGGGCUUCAUAAGCUUUAAGCCCAACUCGUUCUGUUUCAGUAUGCAUUUUCCUAUUGUUUUCGUAUUAUUGAAUACUACUUAAAAGUCAACGGCGUCAUACAUUAAAAUAUGAAGGUACUAUUUAGCAAGAAAUCCAAAAGUUGAGUUUGGCACGCUUCGGUCAAGUCUUUUACUGGUCGGAUGGGUGGAUUAAUCUUUUUCCAAAUUUUCUACCAGUUGAUGAUGACAUGACAUCAAAGAUUGCUACAAGUUCUUUGCCAUUGGCUAAAGCAGAAAAGAUGCAUGUGGUGGUUCUUCGUAUAUGCACCCUGAGUAAUAAUAUGCAAUUCAUGUAGGAUCCACCAAUACAUGUUUAACUUUUUUUAAAAAAAAUAUCUCUCAGGUCAUAAAUAUUUUACUUUAACACAAAAUAUUAUCAAUUUUUUGAAAUUUUGACCAUCAAUAGUUUAUUAAGUUCUUAGUUGUUAAACAAAUGGCAUAUAUGUAGGUAGGUUUUCACUUUUCAGUACUAUCGUAAUAUCGUGAAGUCAUUCAAUUUUAUAAUUUCUUUUUUACAAUGCAAAGUUGAUGAUCAAUGCUAUAAAAGUUUGACAAAUGAUCCCAUUGUUUUGCUUAUGCUUAUAAACCAAAAUUUAAAUUUUUUAAACUUGAUUUUAAGUUAUUUUUGUGUUCUUUUUAUCAUGGUUUAUUUUAUGGCACUCGUCUUUUACCGCUAAGAAUAACGUUUUACCCAUAAAUAAUGUUUUUACUAAUAAGUAAUAUGAAUAAGUAUAAGGAUAACUAGACCACAAGUCUUGUUCUAAAUGUUAAUUAUUUAUUUAUACCCGAGAAAGAGAGUGUGUGUAUUAUGGUCAGGACGGCAUCUCACUGACCUUAAAAUAGGUUAAAUAUCAUAUUUUCUUUACCGUGGGGAGUAUUGUUGAUGAGGACUAAGGUUCUGAAUCUUCCGUUAGGUACUAGAUAGGUUAAUUGUGGAGACUUGAUGUUGAUGAUUCAAAAGCUCCGAUCAGAAUGACCGAACCCCGUGCAAUCACUACACCACCCCUCUGUUAGUUAUCACCCGAGCCGAAACAUGGUUGAUCUCGCCAAAAAGACUAUAUUCCGUAAGCGAAUCGAGAACACAAGUAAGAGAGUAGAAGAUGCAAUUUGAAUAUAUUGCGAAUUUAAGAUGGAGCUCAUAAGUUGGUGUUCCACAGACCAAACUAGCAGCAAAACUGCAAAAUCCAACCCUAAUUUGAUGACGGUAACUGAUUAAAUAGAUUCUAGGGUCGACCUAGGGUUGUUAUAGCUAGGGCGCACACCCCCUUGGGCUUAGCCCACGAGUCACGACACAAUUACAAAGCCCAAAGUUCAAAUCGGACUUGGACUGGAUGAGGUACAUGGCUUGUUUUGUAGAUUACCAAUAGAUUAGAAGGAAUUUUGAUGUGUGAUCAGAACUAUAUGAAAGUAGAUUCCAUAAGCUUUCCAAUAAAUAAUCAUGGGCUCCGAGAUUCCUUCUAGAUCAUUGGCUAGGUCCGUUUGAAAUUAAUGCUAUUAGGAGACUUGAAUCCGAAUCCAAAAUGUGCAUAAUUUCCUCUCUUCUAUAGACUAAAAGUGAUAUGGUGAUGUAUGAGCAGUCUUUAGGAAAAUCUUAGUUUGGUCCCCGACCAAUUUAUUUGAUCAUCCAAGCACUUCGUGAGCCCGCUCUCAUUUCCUUCACCCAUGCUAAUAUUUCUUCAAACGAGAAGAUAUAAAACUUAUGGUGCAGUAAUAUUUGUUCAAACGUAUAAUAAGUAAACCUAUAUAGAAUCUAUGCAUCUUUAGCUUGUUGAAGUGUAACAUAAACAUGGUUAUAUCUGAGCCAGUGUUGUUCUUGUCAAUUGUUUUCGCAUUGUUCCGAAAACGACAGCUUUGUCCUUGUAAACAAGAAGUAAGGUUAAAGUUAUGUACACGUAGAAAGAUAGAUCAUAUCACCAAAUGCCGAGCCAGUUUCAAGAAUUCGAGUCACCUAUGACCUAUGGAAGUCGUAAAGUGUAUUAGUGGCCUGACUCAUCUCGAAAUAUUGGAUAAGGUAAGCCUGUGCUCUGAUUUUUCGGCUCCUCUAGCUUAGUUUAACCCUACCGUUAGUCAAAAGCUCCAUACAUGACUUGUUAACCUACUCUUAUUUUGCCCAUUGCUGUUACUUCUUUUAUGUCGAGAAUGCUAAUCCGCAACCAGUUGUGCGCGUCUUCCCCGGAUGAUUGGACACGUGUCGCGUGCGAAGAGGGAAGCGGCGGACGGCACGCAGAGUAGAAUUAAAAACUCUACCUAAUUCUAUUGUAGUUUUACAAAAAUACCUUUUGAACUUUUAAUAUGAAAAACAAUCAAAUAUAAAUGAAUAGCCACAUAUAAAAUCAAAUUGAGAUGCGCGCAAGUAAUUGCAGAAAUUUAACCUUGUGCUAAUGACUACUGUGAAUUUGCGUUAUCAACAGCAGCCAGCCAGUACGGACGGCCAAUGUUCGUUGCCAUCAAACGUCCACGUCGACGUAUAUCCGGAGAUCAAAACAAAAGCAGAGGAGACGACAUGGUGCAACUUCUCAUAAAACGCAAAGAAAAUUGCUGAAAAAUUCAGAAAGCCACACACCAUUGCAAAAUGCAGCAAAUCCUCAAAUCCUCCAUCCAUGGCGCAACCAUGACACGAUCACAACCGACCUAAUUAAUACCUAACUCGAAACCAAAUCACCAUGAAAAUUAUUAAUUAUAUAUUGAUCAUGAUGCUGUUCAAGUUCAAGCAAUCCGCAAUGGCGGCUCGUCUGCUUUUUACUCUGUCGUCAUGGCCGCCUCCUCUGUGACAGGCACCGCCGGCGCGUCCCUCCUCCGCCGCAGCUCGUCGGCGAGCUUCCUCAGCGCGGCGGUGGCGCCCGCGCCGUCGCAGCCCAUGAACACCUCGGCGAUGUCGGCGGGCGUGAUGAGCACCCCGGCUGCGAGGAGGCCCUCGGCGUCGGCCAUGAGGCCGCUCACCGUGUCCGGAUCGUCGGCGGCGUCCUCGCAUCCUUCGUCGCCGACGCCGACGCCGAGGUAGUUCUUGGCGAGCACGCGGAGCGCGGGCGGCGAGCAGUAGCCGAGCUCGAUCUUGCGGUCCAUGCGGCCGGGGCGGAGCAGCGCCGGGUCGAGCCGCUCCGGGUGGUUGGUGGUGAACACCAUGAGGCGCUCGCCGACGCAGGAUGACCAGAGGCCGUCGACGAAGUUGAGCACGCCGGAGAGGCUGAUGGAUUCCCGCCCCAUCGCCGCCAUGGCCGCCGCAGCGGCCGGGGAGAUGAUCGAGAGCUGCGCCGCGUUCUCGUCGUCGCUCGCCUUGUUCUUGCGGUCGGAGAGGUCGAGGGAGCAGUCGAUGUCCUCGACGACGACGACCGACUUGGGCGUGGUGGAGACGAGCAGGCGGCGGAGGUGGGAGUUGGUGGGCACGGUGGUGAGCUCCAGGUCGUAGACGUCGAACUCGAGGAGGUUGGCGAUGGCGGCGACGAGGCUGGUCUUGCCGGUGCCGGGCGGGCCGUGGAGCAGGUACCCGCGCUUCCACGCGCGGCCGACGCGCGCGUAGUGCUCGCGCCGCGCCGCGAAGCGCAGCAGGUCGGCGCGGAUGUCGUCGCGCAGCGCCGGGUCGACGGCGAGCGUGUCGAACGUGGAAGGGUGGGAGAAGGCGUGCGACGUCCAGAGGCGGUGGUGGUCGUCGCCGGGGGCGGCGGCGCGGUUGGUGUAGAGCCGCCGCUCCCUCGACCUGAGCCGCAUCUUGGUGGCCUCGUCGAUGACGUGCUGGAUGUAGUGGCCGUGGAUGAGCUCCCGAUGCUGGCGCGGGAACUGCAGCUCGAGUCUGCGCGGCUCGCCGCCGCCGCCACCUCGGCCAUAAGGGUUGUAAGGGUUGAACACUCCGCCGCCGCCGCCGCCGGCGGAGGCGCCGCGCUCGACGGGGCGAGCGGUCCACUUGACGAGGACGCCGCGGAAGACGUCGUGGGUGGUGUGGGCGUCGGGGAGGGAGGCGACGGGGCGGGGAGCUUGGUGGGGCUUGUGGAGGCGGACGGUGGGGGCGGUGGCGAGGCAGCGGGCGCCGAGGUAGAGCUGGGAGGCGUCGUAGAGGUCGUUGGCGCCGCCGCUGGCGCCGUCGGCCUCGUCGAUGAGGAUGGUGCCGACGUGGGGACGGAAGGCGGCGGCGAGGCGGGUGAGGAGGCGGCGGAGGAAGAUCUCGGCCUCGGGCGGGAGGAAGUCGCGCAUGGCGGUCCGGAACACCAUGAUGGUGGCGAGGAGCGAGCCCACCGAGCGCCAGUCCAGCACCAUCUCCAUGGCGGCGACGAGACGACGACGACGACGACCUCUCGCUCGCUACUCGAGUGUGGAAGUGGAGGUGGAGUGGAGGUGGAGGUUCAGGUGGUGGGGGUUUUAUGCGUGCGCGCGGCGCGGCGGGGUGUAGUCGAUCGGAGCGAUCGAUCGAGUCAAGUGAACAUGAUUAGUACACAACAUGCUAGAUUGAGCUCCUGUACCUUUAAAUACACGGUGUUUUUAUCAUUAACAUGUGAGUCCAGACAUCGUCGGAUCCACGUGUCAGUGAUAAAAGUCACGUGACUUCGACGGUAGAGGAUCUUGAUCCCAACAUGCUACCCCAUACUUCCGCAUUCCGAAUGAAAAAUAAAUCAAUAUAAGAUGUAACUUAUUUUAUAUGAAUUUAGAUAUAACUUUGUUAAAAUUCAUAUGUUACAUCGUGUACAAUGUUUGCUUUUCAUGCGCUGGAGAGAGUACCGUGGAUGAGGCAGUUGAUGCUGACGGAAUGCGUCCAAUAAUGGAGCUCACCUUGUGACUUUGCGAGUAAUGUGUAUGGAUAUCUCCAAAAUUCACUGAAGAGAAAUAGAGGAUGCUAUUGCUCCUGUCCUAAGGACCAGUUCGGAUAAAUGGAUGUCGGAUAUAUAUUAUCUAAUUUUGUGAUAAUACUCGAGAGUUAACAAUAAAUUAAUUAUUGUAAAUUGGAAAAAGUACAAAUUACCCCCUGAACUAUCGCGGUCGAUCGAAUUACCCCCCUGAAUCUGAAACCAGACAUUGUUCACCCUGAACUUUUAAUAUCGGACGAAUUAUCCCCCCUUAGACCCAAUCCAGAGCGAUUUUUUCCUACAUAGCGUACGCGUGUCAAUCCAGUCAACAUUUUCUUUUAAAAAAUUGGUGGGACCCACCUGUCAUUUCUCCCCUUCACCUCUCUCUGCGCAGAGGGGCGGGCGGCGGACGACGGCAACGUAAGACGAGGAGGGCCAUGGAUGAGGAUGGACGCCGCCACCAUCGCCAGACCACGUUGUUGCAUGUUGCUGCCGCGCUUCUUGACGCCGCUGCCAUGGAUGAGGUUGCCGCGGCGGUGCAUGGGGCGGUGCUCAAGUGGGCGCAGGUGCAGCAGGAGCGACGGUGGCGCGAGGAUCCGCCGCCCCUGAUCCUCGGGAGCGACGUCGGCGCGUGGAUCUAGAGGCCUUCAUCAUCUGGAGCGCCUGGGGGAGCGGGAGGCGUCUUUCUCCUCCGCCACCGUCAAGUCCAUCAUCGACUAGUCGCUCUCCACCCCCUCGUUGUCCCCCUCCACCAUCGCCGCCGCGGCCUCCACCCCGACAGCACGCACAGCGCGGCGUGGGGAUGGGAGGUGGGCGGUGGCGCGCGGGGGCGGAAGGACGGAGGGCGGCGGUGGGUAACAAGCCGACGGCGGCUUGGUUGCGCGCGGGCGGGCGGCGGCACGAGCCGGCUAGCGCCAUCACUCGCCCGAGAGCGUCGUCGUCUUCGAGCUUCUGCCACGUGGCGCUGUUGUCGUGUGGUCUGAGCCUCCAAGGGCCUCGUGCCACCGCGUGUAGAGGCCAUCACCUCCUCCUCCUCCUCCUCCUCGAGCCACCAUGUUGCCGUGUGACAUUCCCUUGUUGUGCUCAGCCCCUGUGUCGCCGCGGGCCGCCACCGCCACCGCCACCGCCACCGCGGGCCCCUCCUCCUUCUCGUCGCCACUGCAAUCGGCACUGCCUCCACCUGUCUGCCCCCGCCCGUCCCCUCACGCCGCCGGCCACCUCCCGUCCCUGCGCCGCCAUGCCUAUUUUGUGCCCGAGAGAGAGAGGAAAUGGGGUAUGACAUGUGGGUCCCACUAUUUUUAAAAAAGAAAAUCCUGACUACAUUGCCACGGGUAUGCCACAUAGGACAAAACCGCUCUGGAUUGGAUCGAGGGGGUAAUAUGUCCGGCAUUAAAAGUUCAGAGUGAGCAAUGUCUGGUUUUCUAGUUUAGGGGGGUAAUUCGGUCGACUGCGAUAGUUCGAGGGUAAUUCGUACUUUUUCCUUGUAAAUUUAAAAUUUAUUGCGGAAAAUGCUUAGAAACUUAUAGGACAUUUAAAAAAUUCACACUAUUUAAAAGCUCGGAAAACGCGCCACCCAUGGUCUUCAUUCAUUGGAUGCAUUGCUCUUUAUUUGGUGUUUGCAGCUAGUGCAACUUAACCCGAGUCGAAGAGGGUGUUUGGAGGGACUACAACCUAAAAUCCAAGUUAGUGAGGAGUUCAGAGAGAGAAAAUAAUUUCUUUUUAACUCUAGCAUAUUUCCGUAACUGUUACAUAAAAGACAGACGCAUAUGGACCAUACUCACACAGCCACAAGCGGAUCUCACACCAAGCACACCUAGUAGCGGAGCCAAUAAGAUCUUUGAGGCUGAACAAAAUUUAAUAUAACUAAUAUUUACUAUAAAAAUUUCAUCAUCAAUUUACUUAUCUUAACUAAUUAAAAGAUUAGUAUUUUUCCAAUCGUCACCAAAAUUAGUAUUAGUAUUUUUCGUCCGUAUGUGCAAUUUUUUCCACUUGUCCGUGUACGAUCUCCUCCCAAAAUUUUGGUUCGUCAGUACAUGCGAGAUCGAGAGACCGCAUCGUACAUGCGAGAUCGAGAGACCGCAUCGCUCCUGUCUCGUACGUUCGUAGAAGCCCAGAACUAAUGCACGGAAACGAAAGAAACUGAAUCAGAAAUCCAACAACAAUAAAGCAAAACCAUCCCAAAAAUUAAAUCACCGGGGCCAAAAAAAAAAGGAAAAAAUUGCAAAAAAAAAUCAAGUAUUGGCCGGCUUGGCGAGGCAAUGGGGAGGAGGAGACGCAGCCCAGUGCGCACGGUCCACCCCCUCACCACGCACCUCCAAAUCCAUGGACCCGUGUGAGCGUGGGGGCGAAGAGACGACGGAUCCAUGCGGGAAGGGAAGAGGUCGCUGGAUCCACCCCUCCCAUCGCCGCCGAUGGCGGAUCCGCACGAGAGGAGGGCGGAGAGAUGACGGGAUCCGUGCGGGAGGGGAAGAGGUCGCCGGAUCCGCCCCUCCUGUCGCCGCCGAUGGCUGAUCCGCGCGAGAGGGAGACGAAGAGACGACGGGAUCCAGGCGUCGGUGGUGGAUCCGCACGAGCAGCAUCAAUGGCUUGGAACCGUUGCAUGAGGAGGCCUUGUCGUCACCCCCAGUCAGCCACUGCGCUUCUUCAUCUUCUCGCUGUCGCGCUUCUCCAUCUUUUGCCGCAUCAAGGAGAGGAGGCGCCGCUGGCCGCUGCUGCAGCCGGUAGGCGGAAGAAGGCGCCGCUACUACAGGGAGGAGGCGCAAGGGCUGAGUAUGGGAGGAUGUGAGGGCGCACGCUGGUGGAGGCGCUGGAUGCCUGGAUGACGACGUGCGAUGUGAAUGGGGAACGACCGAACGAGUGAGGAGGGAGAGAGACAAAGAGACUGGGAUUGAGAAGAGCCUAGAGCUCUUUGAGCAGAAGACCUCUUGGAGCUGGCAACCUCCUCGGUAAUGAGGUACGAGCUUCAGUUUUUUCAUUAAAAAAAACUAUGACCGGUCAAAGUUCCUUUCUUUAUUGUGAUAUUGAUUUUCGCUGAAAAAAAGUUUUUUUAGAUACACGUAAGAGUACUUCACAACUAAUGAUGAUUUUUCUUUAUUACUUAUAUUGUUGACAUCAAAAUCACUUAAAGUUUCAGUAAAUACAAAAUAUUUGUUUGAGACAAAAAAAUAUCGAUUGAAAAAAAGUAAAAAGUUUCCACGAGAUAAGCCAAAUUAGAGUAUUCGCGCUAUCAUCCACAUGUCACAUGACCUGUCUCCACGCGAGUCCACGUAUAAUUUUGAGUUGACAGAUCGAGAAAGCAUGCAUGACUACUAGAGACUAUGAGUAAAUAUGCAAAACUAUUUUCAAUCUGCGACACUGCUACAUGAUAUAUUUUCUUGGACGCCACCCACUUUUGUUUCCAUGCGGUCCGUAAGUAGAACCGCAUGGAAAAAGAGGGGGACAGGUGCCGGGCUGUCGCCCGCACGGGAAAAUACAUUAUCCCGCGUGGGCGACUUAAGCCAACCGCACACGAAUUUUCAAUAGCACGGGCCCACCGCUUUUAACCGCGCCCGCACACAUCUCCUCCUCCGCCCGCUCCUCUCCUCCCACCUCCCUCUUUCCCACUCCACUCAUCUCCUCCUCUCCUCCCACUCUCCUCUUUUCCCCUCUCUCCCGGCCGGCCGGCGGUGCGACAGCAUGCGGCGGCGCGCGGCCCCUCCCUCCCCCUCCCUCAACUGCGGGUGGGAAGAAGGGCUGCGAGAGCAGGUGGCAGCGGGCGACCAUGGCGGCCCCUCCCCUCUCUCCCCUUGCGGAUCCUGCGGAGGGGCGGCGGAUCCGGCGGCGCGCACCCCCUCCCCUCCUUCCCCUUGCAGAUCCGGCGGAGGGGGGCGGCGGAUCCGGCGGCGCGCAACCCCUCCCCUCCCUCCCCUUGCAGAUCUGGCGGAGGGGAGGCAUGGGGGCCCAGUGGAGCGGCGGCAUGCGUCAGCGGCCGGUGUGGAGGUGAGGCAACGGCGUCGGCGACCGGCGGAUCUAUCUCUCCCCCUCCUCUCUUUGUUAUUUGUGAUUCUUUGUUAUUUGUGAGAUGCGUUCUUGGAGUUCAUUUGCUGCUGUGAGAUGUGUUCUUGUGAUGUGAGAGUUCAUUUGUUGAUGUGAGAUGUGUUCUUGUGAUGUGAAAUCAUUGUGUGUCGAUGUGCGACUACAGAUCUGGUGCCAGUGACCAGAAGGGAGGUUGUCCUCUGCAUCGGCUACGAUGAUGAUGACCUCGCCCUCGUCGACAUCACCUACCCCAAGCGUGACGUGGACAACAUGCAGUGGUUCCGGGAAAUCACACUGCUAUACCGUGGCCACCGCCACUCCGCACCCUUCGUCCUCGGCCUCAUCGUGCUCUGUGGCCAUGCGCCGCGCAACAACUGGUGCCCAUAGGGGCGAGAAGGGCGUGCGCGGCCAUCCUCGGGACCUCGGCACCCUGAUCCGCUACGUCGCGAUCUACAUCAGCGGCUCCCAUGCCUUGUGUACCAGCCCGACUGCAACCAGUCCGAGUAUACCGUCAGCGUGCUUCCUUUCCAUGAGGACGGCGGAAGGAUGGCGCGGCUCCUCACAUUCCUGCGCAACAGGCGCGUCACGGUGGCCUGCGUCGGUGCGCACGAGGUGAUGGAGAAGCUCACAGAGGAGUGGGAAUUGGACGUGGCAUGGCCGGCGGAGUUGACGGAUCUGUUUUCGUUCACGUGUUCGGCAAGGUGUCCGGGGUAGGCGGCAAGGUGGCCGGGGUGGACGCGGUGAGGCUGCCCAAGGAGCUGGAACCGGAUAAGGAGGAGAUAAAGGAGAGCAAACAUGGGGGUCUAGGGGAAUUUUUGACAAUUUCUCUUUUCUCAAUAGCCGGAAAUUAUUAUUUUAAUGAGCAUGGUGUCACUAGCAUAAGGGUGGAAACAAGCCGAACCAAGCCUAGCUCGUCUCGGCUUGCAGUGGCUCGCAACAAACUAGGCUUGGCUUAGCUCGGCUCAGUCAGGGAAACAAGCUAAAACUUGAGCUCGACUCGGCUCGUUUUCUGGCUCGAGCCAGCUCGAGCUGUCUUGCAAGCCUUCCUGUUGAAACACCUCUUCAUAUAUAUUUUGUAAUUAUUAAAAAAUCAAAAAUAAAUCAUUAACAUGUAAAAUUUAAAUAAGUUUAUAUAUUCAAUUCUUCAAAAUCUUAAUGAUAAAUUUCAAUUUGACAAAUAAUAACGCCACAAAAAGUAAAAUAAUCGAUAUAAAUACAUGAUGGCCUAGGCUCGCAAGUCAAAGCAAGCGGCUCGCGAGCUAGCUCGGCUUGGCUCAUUUCAGCAAUGAGCUGCAAAGGAGGCUUGGGCUUGGCUUAUUUGGCUUACGAGCUGAGCCAAGCCAACCAAGCUCGACCAAGCCCGAGUUGAGCUCACGAGCCCGAGCUUUUUUUCCACCCCUGCACUAGCAAAUAUCCAACUUUUACAUCCCAAAAAGUUAAUCUGUGUAGUGUCCCACAGCUAAUUAAAGCCGUGAAGUCACGAUGUCCUGUAGCAAAAUUUGCCUAUUUGGUUUUGUUACACAGAGGAUGAGUUAAUUUCUCCAUAUCUUCACAAUUUUCAGCUCAUGUUUUAUGAAGGGAGCAAUAUUUUUCAACUCCACACAUUUUCUUCACAUAUCAACGCACGGGUAUAUUCCUAUAGUUCUCUCAUUUUUUUAAGGCUUAUCUGCUUAGAAAUAUAUAUCCCGCAAAUAUAAAGAAGAUUAAUUGUCAAGAACAACACGACUCGACUUUGAUCAAACUUCAACCACCCACUAUCAUCUGUUAUCCGUGCAACGCACGGGCGUUGCACGGGCAUUAUGCUAGUUAAUAUUAAAAUUUAAUGGAGUUUUCGCCGGCGAGCCCGGACUAACCGGGCGGUGGCUCUGCUACUUGGCACACUCACAAACCCAUGAUGAGUGAGUUCCCUAACACACACUCAAAGAAGAGACUGAUAGCAAAUCUCUGGUUCCACUCACGACUCCACCAUCACCACCGGUGCUUUCUUCUUAUGUUGCGAAGCAAUAUCCUUUUCUUUUUUCCUUUACAGUUGAAUGCAAGUCCUUUACGGUCACUCGCAUAUGCACGUCAUGCAUGACCCGAGGCUGCACAAGAGAAUGUUUGUAUGAUUUCCAAUUUUCCACAAUGGCAAACCGAUCCUGCUAAAGCUGAAAGAGAUAAGUGGAGAGGCAGAGGGCGGCUUGUAUUUUGAUCUCGCUGAAGCUGAAGCCUGAAGGGAUCAAACGACGGAAUCUCGAUGACUUGACCUACUCCAUCCGUCCCAAAAAAAGACAAACCCUAGUUUCCGUGAACAGCGUUUGACCGUCCGUCUUAUUUAAAAAUUAUGAAAAAAAUUAAAAAGACAAGUCACGCAUAAAAUAUUAAUCAUGUUUUAUCAUCUAGCAACAAUGAAAAUACGAAUUAUAAAAAAAUUUCAUAUAAGACGGACAGUCAAAAUUGGACACGGAAACCCAUGGUUUGCCUUUUUUUGGACAGAGGUAGUACUUCUCAAAAGCGAAAGCCACCUUUUUUGUGUGCAUUUCGUACUAGGAAAAAGUACGAAUUACCCCUCGAACUAUUGCGGUCGUCUGAAUUAUCCCCCUGAAAUACAAAACCGGACAUUCUUCACCCGUAACUAUGCAAACCGGAUGAAUUACCCCCUCGACCCAAUCCACGGUGGUUUUGGUCUACGUGGCAGUCCAGUCAGCGUUUUUUAAUUAAAAAAUUAUGGGACCCGCAUGUCAUACACUUCUUACUCUCUCUCUAUUCUCUCUCAAUCUUUUCUCUCUCGCACGGCGGGGACGAGCGCGGGGACGGGCGGUCGGCGUGUGCGGUCGGCGAGGCGAGGCGAGCGCGGCGGCACGGACGGUGCGGACGUCGGCGCGGAGGCGGAGGCGGCGCUGAUGGCGGAGGAGCGUGGCGGCGGAGCUGUGUGGCGGCGGAGGAGCGGAGGCGGCGGAGUCAGUUGUGGCAGAGGCAAAGGCAAGGUUUGUGGUGAGAGCGUGCAGCGGCGUGGUUAGCGCUUUGGCACAGCAGCAGGGAGGAAGGCACGCGCAAGUGCAUGCAUGAGCAAGAAGAGGAGAGAAGGAGGCGGCGGAGGAAACGGCGGCUGCGACCCGCCGGUGACCGAUGCGCUAUCCAUGGACAGCGGCCUCCGCGAGGUGUCCCUCUCCGUGGUCUUCUCCGUCUGGUGCCUCCUCCUCCUUCGCUCCCAGUGUCAUGGAUCGAUCAAUGUCAUGUCACCCUGGCGUUUGAUUGAUCUCUUCUUUGUAGAUUUCUACGACGAUGUCGAGGACGGAAUGCGUGAAAACUACUGCAAGGUAAUGCCGCUGGAGGCCUACAUUUUCCCGACUGAGUAUAACGCCUCCGCGGCCGCGCCGACGUGCCAGCCAUCGUUGCACCCGCCGGAGCCGUAGCAAGAAACCGACCACCGGAGCCUGGAGCCGUUCAACAACACAACCGGCAGCAAAUCGUCCACGGACGCGGCGCUCGAUGAGCUCGACGAGUUCCGGAGCCGGAUCCUGCAGGGCAAGGCCGCGAACGGCCGCAUCCCCGACGGCGCGGCGGCCCACCGGCUCGAGCCAAGCGGCGCGGAGUACAACUACGCGGCGGCGUCCAAGGGCGCGCCAAGGUGCUCGCCCACAAUCGCGAGGCCAAGGGCGCCGCCAACUUCCUCGGCGCCACGCUCCUCCGCCGCCUCUGCCGCCUCAUCUCCUCCGCUGCCACACAGCUCCGCCGCCACGCUCCUCCGCCACCUCCGCUCCUCCGCCGCCACACAGCUCCGCCGUCUGCGCCGACGUCCGCGCCGCCGCACUCGCCUCACCUCGCUGACCGCACACGCCGACCGCCCGUCCCUGCGUUCGUCCUCGCCGUGCGAGAGAGAAAAGAGUGAGAGAGAGAAUAGAGAGAGAGCAAGAAGUGUAUGACAUCCGGGUCCACAAUAUUUUAAUUAAAAAAAACGCUAACUAGACUGCCAUGUGUACGCCACGUAAACCAAAACCACCGUGGAUUGGGUCGAGGGGGGUAAUUCGUCUGGUUUGCAUAGUUAUAGGUGAAGAAUGUCCGGUUUUAUGGUUAGGGGGGUAAUUCAGACGACCGCGAUAGUUUGACGGGUAAUUCGUACUUUUUCCUUCGUACUGCUACGUGCAAACGACAAGCACAUUUGCGCAGAAACUCAAGGACACAACAGACACACGCGUUGCAUUCUGUUUCGCAGCUGCUUCCUUUCUCCAGCUUUUUUGUUUGCAGUCGAUCGGCUUGUUUCAGCCGUAGUAGUACAGUGUGAUUUGGUAUUAUCCUGCAGGAAUUUUUGGAGUUGGUGGUACCAACAAUAGAUUAUAGUAAUUUUACUGUCCUUAAGGAGGUACCAUGAUAUACCAUUUUUUCUACUGUACAUAAUAACCUAGAUAGGUAUUAUGAGAUACCAAAUUUUACACUAAAUUUUUGGUACUCAAGGUACUUUCCCAGGUACCGUAGAAUUGCUCAACAGAAAAAGGCUUUUUCGAGUGGAUAGGCAUAGGCAGGCUCUGAUCGUUUGGCUUCGGCUUAUCCACAUGGACGAAUAAAAGAAUUCUACAUAGUAAAACUUUUACAAUGUUAAAAUACAAAGGCUAUGUUUAGUUCACGCUAAAAUUGAAAGUUUGGUUGAAAUUGGAACGAUGUGACAGAAAAGUUGGAAGUUUAUGUGUGUAGAAAAGUUUUGAUGUAAUGAAAAAGUUGGAAGUUUGAAGAAAUAUUUUGAAACUAAACACGGCGAAAGUAUAUCUGUAUAAUUUGUGGUUUCAAAUACAAUGUUAAAAGCAAAAACGAUAAUAAAAAACUCUAAAAUUUAAUUUGAAGAUAAAACUGAUAAGCCAAUAAACAGAUGGUGAGAGUGCGACUCUCUGAAGCGUUUACAGGCUUUUGUGUGAAAGUUCCCGGAAAUCUCGUGUUGACAAAGAGUCAAGAGCCGUCCAAAAUUCUGGAUUUGCUUCCGCCAUGUCUACUUCUCAUCCUGCCAAUAAUCAGCCGAAAGUUUCUCGCCAAUUUCCUACGUAAUAUUUCCUAUUGGUCAUUAGGAAAACUAAUUUUUAUUUGACCCAUGCUUAGGACAAGAAGACUAGACCGGAUUGUACUAUUAAUUAGGCUGGUCCCUCAUGUUGAUCAGCUCGGUGAUUAUCCUGUUGUUAAGUUAGGCUUGUCCUGUAGCAACUGGACUUUGCAUCCCAAGUCAUGAUUCUACCACACAAUUUAGUAUCUGCUCAGAUGUUCAUCACGGCGUGCCUUUUCAAGCUCUAAUCAACAUGUACCGAUGUACGAGCUGCACGCGUGCUCAAUUUGUUCUUUACCUACUCCCUCGGGAUGUGUCAUGUCCAAUUUUAAAUUUAUUUUUUUUAAGGGGAGUACUCAAUAACAAAAUAUGUCAGAUUCACAUUUUUAUUGUUUUCAUUAAUAUUGCUAUUUCGGCAUUACUAGAUAGCGUAGGAUGUGUGUUUGUUGACGGUGUUACCAAAUUCGCUAAAUUAAGUUUUUAAGAGUGGUAAUUUAUAUAGAAUUACCAAAAUUUACAGCAACAAUACAUUUAGUUUAUUGUUUUAGGCCGUGUUUAGUUGCAAAAUUUUUCUUUAAACUUUUAACUUUUUUUAUCACAUUGCUACAAUUUCAAACAAGUUUCUAAUUUUAGCGUGAACUAAACACACCCUUAAUACUAAAUUAGUAGGGAUAAAAGUGAUUUCGAAAGGAACAAGCGAGUCUACAUCACUGUGGCUGAAAUGUGAGUAGGAAAACGAACGGUCGACGAGAAAAGCUAAGUCCUGUAGCUAAUUUGGCUGUGGUGAAAAGCACCAUCUGUCGCUCUCCCCUUUGCUGCUUUGCACGUACGUGAUGUUGUCAUACAUAUUGUCGUAUUACUAGUUGAUCGGGUUGAAGAUUCUCUCCUGCUGAUAUCUUGUUUACACUGGCUGUCUUGUACAAUAGGCUUGAUAAGGAGUCUAAGUUUUUAUUUUUCCUAUAACUUUAGUUAUCUUCAAAAGAAAAUUUCAUAUAAAAAUAUAGGAGGGUAGUUCAUUAUUACUCCCGGGUACAAUUGGUGCACGGAUUUGUAUUCCACCUAUUGUGGCGGAGGCAAGAAUUUUACCGAUCAGUUUCAUUUGAUACUUGAGUGAUGAUAACUUUAAACCCAUAUAAAUUAAAGUUGAUAUAAAUGGUUUGAAAAAGCUAUGGGGUCAGCUCAGGGGCGGAAUCAGGCAUGGGGCAGUUAGGGCUUGAGCCCCAUGCCUAGCUCCAUAAUUCCCAUUAUAAUCAUGAAAAAUGUUAUGUAACUUAUGAAAAUAUUUGAGAUCUCGUUAGCUCAGCCUUAGACGUGGAAAUUUUCUGGCUCCGCCACUGGGUCAGCUAACCCAUGCACUUCUAUAUGGAUCCAAUCACUGCUCGGAUAGUCUUGCUACGUGUCCUCCCUUCUGAAAUGCUUAUGACAGUUGUAAAAAAAAACUCUGAAAAGAAUUGAUGAUAGGAAAUGUUGUGGGAAGAUACUUGUAUUUUGUCUUUUGUUAUAGUUAUAGUUACAGAUAUACUAAAAAUCUGGGAAGAUACUUGUAUUUUGUCUUUUGUUUCAUAGUUUCCUCGGCAGCGGCAAGGAGCACUAUUUGUUUGUUCAUAUAUAUUGAAGAGAAAUGAAGAUAAAUGAGAUCCUAGCAUUUUACUCUGUUUCAAUCAUAACAAAGUUGGUUAACACUUAAACUUUGCUCUGUGUUUUGAACUUUUGAUCACUCAUGAGCAUGAGACCAGUUCUCUGCUAUUGUUUACGAUAAUAGAAGGUUCACUAAACAAUGAAAACAUCUGACCUCUGCACCAAGUAGUUCUCAUAGGAUUAUUUUCCCAAUUAAUAGGAUGUAAGGGCUUGUUUGGUUAUAUCCAAUUUUUUUUGGCAAUGGUAAGAUCUGGCAAUGCCAAAAUUUUGUCACCUAUUUGGUUGGAACCAAAAAACGGCACCGAUGUUAAAACUAGUCAAUCUUGCCAAAAAAAAAAUGGUAACAUUUCAAACAUCAACCUUACAAAUGACACAGGAUCAAACAUAUACUGCAUGAUAAUUUCAACAACCCCCCCCCCCCCCUCUCUCUUCUCUCCAAGAUAACUUGCAUGGCCUUAUACUCUCUCUCAAUAUCUGAGAUCAUAUAUAUUCCGUACUAUAACAUAUAUUGAUUGGUAUGAAGAAAACCAGAUUUGUUCAAAAAAAAAUCGUCACACGUCAAUCACUGAUGAGUAUGAGUAAAAGCUUAAAUCAGCUCAGGAUUCAGGAAUAUGAAAAUAAUAAGUGUGCAUGGUUAAUGUGUGCAGCCCAAUCAGUACCAGUAGGCAGUUGCAUGUCCAGUCCGGCCCACAAGAGGGUGCUGGUGAUCAGGCAGUUUGUUCUCAAGAGGCUUUCUUGUUGAGUUUCACAGCAACAAGUCCAUAAAAAAGCCUAGCUAGGUUGCAUGCUGCAACACCGCAUGCAAAACCUUACAUAAGGGCGUCAAAUCAAUUACUAAGAGUUAUAUAUAUAUUGGCACACCUAGCUAGUUGAUCAUCUACACGAAGUCGAUCGAUCAUCACACCUCCAUAUUCAUCAGGUGUUUGUUCAAACUCCGAGUACAAACUAAUAGUUAAAUUAAUUUAUAUUAUUAAGAGCUAUAGCUGGAGGAGCUCUUUCCCGUCUCGCCGCCGCCGCCGCCCAUCACGGUGACCUUCUCGCAGGACGGGCAGACGUUCACCAUCGCCGCCGCCGCCGCCCUCGGGAACUGGACGUAGAGCUGCGAGCCGGCCGCCGCCGCCGCCGGCGAAGCCAGCCGACGCAGCUCCAUGAGCUCAUGCUUGAGCUGCUUGUUCUCCUCGGUCAGGCUCUCGCAGCAUCGCUUCAAGAACUCGCAGUCCACCUCAGUCUGCUUCAGCUUCGUCCUGCGUUUUGAUUUAAUUUUUCACAGAUGUUAAUCAUAACACUAAUUGCAGAAUUUUGUAAUCUCCAAACUGAAUGUAAUUAAUUUAAUUCUACGAACCUGGCUCUUCUAUUUUGGAACCACACUUCGACCUGUCUCGGCUUCAGUUUCAGCUGACGAGCGAGCUCGUGCUUCUGAGCCUGUCAUAUAUGAAACAACCAUGAGAUACGUUCAUCAGGUAGCCCUAGAAGAAGCAGAAACUCAUACGGCUCGAUCUCUUGAUCUCAGUUGACCAAGAAAUCAUCAGUUAAUUUCUUACUAACUACAUGGAUCAUAUGCAUGAAUCGAUCGAACAGUUGUGUUAAAAUCCCAAAGAAUUAGUAACAGAUUACUCGAUAUGAUGUGCACGUAAACGUACAUGAGAAAGAAUGUUGUGGACGCGGAAGCUGUCCUCGAGCAAGGUCGACUGCUCCUUGGUGAGCUGGAGCUUCUUCCUCGUGCCGCCACCGCCGCCGCCGCCGCUGCCGCCAUCGCCGCCGUCGUCGCCGAGGCUCAGUACACGCGAGCGGCUACCGUCGCCGCCGCUGUUCCUGAUGGACCUCAUCACCCUUAGCCUUGCACCUCUCUCUCCCUUCAUGAUCUUGCUCCCUGAAGCUUGUUCUUCAUCACGGCCAUGAUCAUAUCCCCUCGUGAUCUCUUCCUUGACAUGCUGGGAGAACAACAUCUGCACCGGCGACGGAGACGACGGUGACCUCCGGCAAUCGUCGCCGCCGUAUGCGUAACCGCCGCCGCCGAUCCCGAGACCAAGCCAUGAACCUAGAUCCUCUCCUUCCAUGCUACUAGAGCUAUACAUGGACUAUAUCUUAUGUAGAAGCUUCUAUUCUAUGUAGAAGAAGAAGAAGAAGAAGAAGAAGAAGAAGCAGCUAUAAGUUUAAGGUGUUUGCUAUGGAGAAGAUGAAGUGUAUGUAGAAGAAGAAGAAGAAGCUAGAAGCUUACAAGGUGUGUUUGAUAGCUAUGGAGAAGAGAAGAAGGGGUCAAGAAGAGGAGUAGUGUGUUUAUGCUAGCUUUAUAGGUGACAACAACAACUCGAUCAACAAGGUCGGUUUCUUGUGUAAAUUGAAGAAGAAAAUUAUACCGCAUGCGGUUAAUUAUGGGGAUCAAUUAAGCUAGCAGGCGUUUGCUUGUGUACGGAGGUGAAUUACCGACAUAAUUUAAUGUGUCAUUUGACUGAAGAGGAAGGCGAUGAAAGGGAUCGGAAGGUAGCCAAUUAAGAGGACUAGCUACUAGCUAAUGGUAGGGCGGUUUCUUGGACACCAGCAUCAGAUGCUAUCUGUUACAGUAUCAGGAGUGUGUUGUGAAACCGACGACAUUUUAAUUGGCAAUUUGUGUUAAUAACGCCCGUGCUAAAUGCCUAAAUGUAGUACUAUAUGAUAGUAAAUUGCUCUGCUUUUUUUAGAGCGGUCAGAUACAAUGCACUUAGAUUGGUAUGAAUUAAUUUAAAAAUGACAAUUUCCAUUUCUUUAGUGAGGCACAAGAAUAUUUUUGUUCAUUUCUAGCUGCAAUGUAAUGUGAAGUGGGUGCCUAGUGGAUUUGUGCAAGUGCCGAGAACUCUUCUUUAGCUUUAUAUUAACAAGCCUAAUUAAGUUGCUACCAUGAGUUUUUUUGCACGAAGAACACAUUUUGUACUAAGUUGUAACAAAACAUUUCAUUGACGGUCUGCUGACUGGUGUUGUUCAUAUGAAGCAAGUGCACGGAGAACGACACAUUUGUAAUUUUUCUAGGAAGGAUCAGUCCACGUUUUACAAAACAGAGAAGCAUAUCCAUUAUCGUCUCCCUCCAGUCACAGUUUAGCCUAUUUAAUCUCCAUUCGCAACAGCCAAUUCCUUUUAUUUUUCUCGAGGCAGGAGAGAAUGAAAGACAAAUUAAAUCUAUGUUGUCCUCAAACUCUUCUCGCGAGUUUUCUUUUUUAAAAAAGAAGACAGAGAAGGAUGGCUUCAAAUAUAAAUAUACUCUAUUCGUCCUAAAAAAUUGUAAUGUUUAAAAAACAAGUUAAUAUAAAAUGAAAAUAAUCUAGAUAACUCUCAUUAAACGGGGGUGCUUCAGAAUGGAGAUAGUUGGGGUAAGGCACGGUUUAGUUCUAAAUUUUGAACCCAAAAACGUCACAUCGAACUUUUCUACACACAAACUUCCAACAUUUCCGUUACAUCGUUUUAAUUUCAAUUAAACUUCUAAUUUUAGCGUGGAACUAAACACACCCUAAGAUUGGAAGGAAUUUAAAUGAGUGGUGAUUGGAGUGAAAAAUAGUACUACUCCAAGUCUAAAUUGAUGUAGUUUAAGCGUAAAAAGUUGUCCCGUAAAGAUUGUAAUUUUAGAGUGGGUCCACUAUAAUUAUUUAAUAGUAGUAUCAUUUCAUCGAUCAUUUUCUCUUAGUUUUAAUUAGAACCAGAAGCAUUCCCACGUCCUUGCUCUUCCUGCAUUAAUGAAGAAGGUCACAGUAGUAUUUUAACCUCCUAUAUAUUUAAUCUAUCUUUAACUAGCUAAAAAUAUAAUCUUUUAGGAACGAUGGGAGUACUACUUUAGAAUCGUAUCCUUUUACAAACUUUAAGUGCUAUAGUUAUAUUCUUUUUGUACUUGGAUUUUUUUCCUUUCUACUGGCAUAAAUGUAUAGUAUUAUCUAUUACUCUCUCCAUCCAUAAAUAUAGCCAUUUAUAGGUUUAUUAUAGAUUAAGGUUGAGCACAGAAAACUUUGUUGGAAGGGGGGCAAAGUGAAAGAAAAAAAAUGUAUGGUUGUAGGUUCUUUUGAAGUAAAAGGCUCGAUUAUCCAUUAUGUAAAAAAAAUGAAUGAGAUAUGAUUAAUGAUACAAGUAGUACUUUAGAAUCGUAUAUUCGUAAAUAAAUUUUAAACGUUUGAAAUGCUUAUAUUUAUGGACAAAGUGGAGUAUAAUAUUACUAAUUGUGAAACUUAAUUAUGACAUUUUAAUAACGUGUGUUCUAAAUAUAGCACAUGAUGGUAAAAUAAUCCAGUGAUUUUAUUCUCGCUGGGUAAAAGAAAUGAGGCUAGCAUUGGCCGGGUGAGACUUACUUAGCUAGGUGUGAAUUUAAAAAGGACAUAUUGUCCAUUUUUUUAUGACGCACAAGAAUACUUGUUCUGCAAUAUGUGCAGAGUGGACUAGCGGACUUUUGCAAGUGCCAAUAUGGUUCAAUGGGAGUAUGAGCUUUAUCAGGCCUAAUUAAUUAGUGUUUGCACAUGAUUAAACACUAUCUGGCACAAUUGCAAUAACAAAAAUAAAUCGAGUGAAGCUCGUGUAACACACCAAUUUAGGGGUACGUGAGCGCAAACUACUCCUUCAAUUAAAUGAACUAAGUUUUACAUUAUUUAAGGUGUCAUGGAGUUUUUUUUUAAUUAUAUAAAACGAAUCCUGUAUAUAAGAGACAUUGCAAGAUUUUAUAUUGUCAUGGACCAAUCGACACCAAUCUCUACUCCAGUUGAAUCUGAAUCAAUCCUCAUGCUUAUUCCUGGCUAUAUAUUCAUGCACCCAAGAGACCGGAACAAUUCGCAAUGCCCACUGCCUAUUAAUGCUUAGAUCUCUCACAAGCAGCCGGUCCAUAGGGAAAAAUAACACCUCCAAAGUAACUGGAUUUUUCACAUUUUGAUUCUUUUAAAAAACUUAUUUCGCAAAUAGACCCCUAAAAAAACUUUUCCCAGAAAUGGUCCUUUUUGGCGCCAGAGUGGCUGGCGCCAUCGUCCAACGGGACGACGCCAGCUUCUCUGGCGCCAUCCUCCUGCCACCGUGGCACACGCGAACCGACGUGGCAGGAGGAGGGCGCCACAAUGGCUGGCACCGCCCUAGGGAUGAGGCAUGCUGGCGCCGCCCCUCUCCCCCCCCACCACCCCUCGCCUCUAUUCCUGUUUCUCUAUAUAGAGUUGCAACCUUUUUAUUUUUAUUUUAGUUUUUCGGAUGUUUUUUCGCACUUAGGAUCACGAUACAACCAGCCACAAAAAAAAAAUUUAAAACUCGAACGGAAUAUACCACUUAGCUAGAUAUGCGAAAAUAGCAUACCACUUAGCCUACUUUACACCUUCAUCAAAAUUAGACCAUAACUCCUUUAAUAAAACCAUUUGAUCAGCAUGUUAAACAUAAUGCACUCUACCACUAUAUGAAAUUACUUAAUCUCUAAUUCAAAUAUAACCACAUGAAAUGAUAGCCAUAAGUUAAAUAGUACAGAGAGAUGUAUUUUUUUUAUUUUUAUUUUAUUUUUUUGAUAUUUUUUUCACACUUAGGAGAAUACAGGAACCAACCAUAGAAAAAAUAAACUCAAAUGGACAAAAUAUGUGACUCGUAGAAUUUUCCAAAGCUCUACUGAAAAGUCAUUCGGGUAUCAUUUAUUAAAAUAGACGUAACUUUCUCAUACGGACUCAGAAUCAGGCAAAUAAUAUAUCCACAGACAUCUACAGAAAAAGUUACAUCCGAUUCUCCCCGCUUUGUCGGGUACGGCGAUUCUAAAACCUCCAAAUUCUGCUUGCAAGAUUGUGUUUUCGAGGAGAGAAGUUUUUCGGUAGAGCUUUGGAAAAUUCCACAUGCCACAUAUUUCGUCCGUUUGAGUUUAUUUUUUAUAUGAUUGGUUCUUGUGAGUUCCUAAGUGUGAAAAAAAUAUCAAAAAAAUAAAAUAAAAAUAAAAAAGUUGCACAUCUCUCUCCUCUGCACUAGUUUGGAGAGAGAGAGGAGAGGAGAGGAAAAAUUCUACAGGUCACAUAUUACAUCCAUUUGAAUUCAAUUUUUUUUAUGGUUAGUUCUUGUUUGUCCCUAAGCGUGAAAAAAAAAUCAAACAAAUAAAAGAAAAAAAUCGGGGGGGGGGGGGGGGCGCCAGCCACUCUGGCGCGCUCCCCCUAGCCACCUCAACAUCGCCCUGCCACGUCGGUAGGGGGUCGACGCCAGAGAGGCUGGCGCCGUCCAGUUGGACCAAAAUGUGAAAAAUCCAGUCCAAAGUAACACGCAUGAUAAGUUUCUGAAAGCGGCACAUCAUGACAGUUCCGUGUCCGAUGAUUUCUGGGAUUAUCCCCAAAAAAAAAAAAGCCUAAGGCCCAUGUAUAUAAAGAAAAGGAAAAAAAUCUUGGUAAGAGAUAAGAAAGUGAAAAACUCUCCUAUUAAUAUAUCAUGAUAUAUAUUUGAUCAAUUCUACACUUCUACUCCCUCCGUUUCAGAUUAUAAGUCGUUUUGACUUUGAUCAAAAUAAAACUGAUUAAAAUUUGAUCAAGUUUAUAGAAAAAUAGUAACAUAUUCAACACAAGACAAAUAUACUAUAAAAGUAAAUUCAAUUAGAAAUUUAAUGAAACUAAUUUAGCGUUAUAGAUAUUGAUAUAUUUAUCUAUAAUCUUAGUCAAACUUAAAGCAGUUUGAUUUUGACCCAAGUCAAAACGACUUGUAAUCUAAAAUGAAGAUAGUACUAUUAUAUAUAUUGUUUCAUAUAUUUGUGGUAUUUUAGAAAAAUAUUAAGUUCAAUCACCCAUACCUAAAAUUCUAGAUAAGUCACUAGGUGGUUUGCAGAAUUUUGCCAUGGUUCAUCUUAUUUGAGUCUAUCUUGUUCUUGAAAACCAUCUCAGGCUUUCAGCAGGUUCAGUGCAUCACCAAGAAAACUCAUGCAAGGUGGUCUGCAGAGUUAUUUUCCAUGGAUUAUUAUAUUUCAGUUUCCUGUUCUUGAAAAAUUGCCUCAUGUUUUCAGCAUUUUCAGCAGGUUCAGUGCAUCGAGAAAACUCUUGACGAAGAACGAAUUUAUCUUUAUCUCCGGCGGCAGAUGCCGCAUUUACUGAAGAAAAUGCAAUCAGCGAUGGGGACACGUGUGCCUCAUGUGCAAAUAAUGUGUAAGCUAACCAAAAAGAAAAACUUAAAAUGGACAGCAAAUUCUCUGAUAAUCUGGCCAGCUCGGAACAAAAUCUAGGAGAUGAUCUCAAAUUCUCAAUACCACUUACGCCGAAAAAAAAAAGUCUUUAUUUUGAACGCGUAAAAACUUUGCACGCGAAAACAAUAUAAUAUUCUCAAUACCAGUAUACCACAAUCUAGCUUCACAGCACACGACUAAUCAGUAUAUAACUUAAACUUGCUUUGAGCUUUUAAUCUGGAUGCCGUCGUUCUUACGGUGGAGAAUUUGGCUGAUAUCUCCCCAUCGUUUGUCAGGGGAUUAUGCAGUCAAAAGGACGGGUUUUGCGUAUUUAAAGCCGCUUGAUAGCCAAGCUUCAAUUCAGUAAAAUAGUCAAUCCACCCAUCCUGUCGUAAUAAUGCUGGUAAUUAGCUUGAACCGUUCAAUUACAUUGGUCUAGCAUUGAUUCAGUUCUCCAAUUGAUGAUGCUUGCGUUUCUAUCUUUUGCUAGCUUUGUGGCUGUUGAACCAUGAACAGUAUCUUUGUACAGGAGGAAGUAGUCUCUGCUGUAGUGAACUGGUUCUGUCAAAAUAUUCUCCUUUUUGCUCAGGUUUUUCAAAGUUCUGAAUUUUUUUGUCGGCAUUUCUAAGUUAAGUUCACAUGUUGUAAAUGAUAUGCUUCGGAGAUUUUAGGAAUCGGAGGGAAGAGAAUCGAAGUAACAAUGUACUGAACUAGCAUUAGUCCUGAUCACCAUGACAGGGCACUAUAAAAAGAUGGGUUAAUUAAUUAAUUAGUGGUGCAAAUUGAUGCAGCUGCCAUGCAUUGAAUUUUGCAUUUGUCUUCUCUUCUGAAUUCAACUGCUAUGGUGUUUUCAGGUCUUCUCUUCUGAAACAACAUUCGCCUGAGCUGCUUCCUUAGUCAUACAGUUAGUUGCAAUUCUCUGUCUGAACCUGACAUGCAUUUCUUCCACAGAUUAAAAUUAACAGGACGUGUCUAGUGCUUCCCGGAAGUUUCAGAUUUCGCAUCAAAUGUCGAUGCAUGGUGAAUUUGAAUUUGUUUCAUUCGAUGAUCGAGACGUAUCGCUGGAGAUGAAGACUGAUAAUAAUUAAUAAAUCUCCACGUGCCACUAAAAUCUCAACAAUCAUAGCUUUGCAUGACAAUGUCAUCAGUACACUAAGAGAACAGAUAGGAUCAGUGUUAGUCCGGCUGCUGCCGCGAGAGAGGAAAAGAAGAACAUGAUGAACUAAUCAGUGAUUCGAUCAGGCCGUAAUUAUGAACGCUGCCGGAGUCGUUUCUUUUUCUAGGGACAGUUCAGAGAAUGAGAGUGCUGAUCGAUCGAUUUGACAAUUUGACAAUCUGACAAUGACACCAGUGGAGAAUGAAUCGAAAAAAACUGAAAAGAUCGAUGAACAAACAGUGUAUCGACGAACAGGUCGCUUGAUCGCUGGGAAUGGACAGUUUCUUGCGCGAGGGGAUCGAUGCUUACGUGAGUGCUUCCGAAUGGUUGGUGCCCCGUCCUUGUCUCGGUGGCAAUGAUCUUGGACUGCCAUGAAAGAUUUCGCAGAAAGAUGAGGAAAAUCGGUAGGAGAACCCACACACACGAGCGUCUCUGAGAUUCUUGGUUUGACUGUCUAAAGCUCGUAGGAAGCUGAAGAAGCACACAGUUUCAAAGGUUACAGUACUUUUUAUCGUCUUGCCGGUCAUCUUAGUUGCCUGAUGUGACGAACAAUUCAACUGGAACAAUUGUAAACGUUGCAAGUACAAUUUGUGGAGUGGAGAUAUAUAUGCUCCUCAUCAUCUGAGAAAUCUGGAGCAGAAUCGAUCAAACUUGACAUCAGCCGUUCAGGUAUCGCCAAAGUAAGUACAGCAUCCGGUUCAGUUUCAGUGAUGUCAGUAGCCAAUUCUGCUUUCUGCACUGCAAAAGAGAAAAGUCCACUUUAUUUUUCUUUUUGAGCGGGAAAAAAUAUCUACUUUACGUCGUUUAAAUGGGGGUCCAGUUUCAAUUACAUAUCCCUCAACCGUAAAGCCGAAUAUAGUGUAUCCCUCAACUACCAAACCAAUCCAAAUCAAGUCCCCAAAUAGUACUAUGAGCGGUUUCGAUUCAUAUAACAUCUUAUUGACCUAGUCUUCAUCCCAUAUAAUAUCGUGAUGAUAUUAACAUGGCACUAAAAAAUAAAAAUAAAUAAACACCGAUGAACAAGAUAUUACAUGGGAUGAAGAUCCUGUAGUUCGGUUAACGUUUAAGUGGAACUACAAAAAGUUGCUGUGGUCUAGUAGUUGACCACAGACGGUCUUCCUGUAAGGCGUACUCCAGAACCGCUAAAAUGUUAACCGACGAGAUAGAGGAAUUGAAUACUCUGGAGCUCCUCUCCUUUCACAGCUGCCAAUAAAUGAGUUCUGCUCCUUCCAUAGUUGCCAAGAAACCAAGAGGACUAGGAAGUCGAAGCCCUUACGAAGAUGCUUCAGCAGGCAAUUCCUAGAAGUCGGCCACCAAACCUAAAGCGUGCAACCGCGGGAAGGAGCGAGGUCAGGCCAGCCAAGUGAAGACAGCACAUGGUGCCAAACCUGUCGAACGAACACACAGUCGAUGAGGAUGUGACUCGUUGUUUCAAGGAGCGAACACAACGCGGGAAGAAGGGAAUGUCAGUGACAUGGGGUUUCAUUUUUUUCCCCUAAUUGUAAGUACAAGAUAGGCGCCACGUAGGACACAACUGGAUCAACACGCCACAUCAGCCGUCAUCAAAAACUACCGAGGAACGUAGGUUCUAGAGGUUGAAUGUGCUUCAUAGUUGAGGGAUGUGACUGAAACUCGAUACUUAAGGACCUAAACUGAACUUUUCCACUGCAAAAUGCAAGCGAACUGGGCCGAGAGUGGCGAGGUUGGGCUGGGCCGGAGGCCUAUGUAGGAUGGCAUGUACAGUAAUAAACCCUACAUCUAGGGGCUUUUCCGGAAGGGUCGCUCUAUAAGUUUGCAACACCCCAGCUAGGGUUUCCAUCCACAUUCCACCUGCGGCCGCCGCUAUCAUCCACAUUCUCGACUCUCGUCAGCCUUCACGAACACCACAGAUCGAUCUGCGGCGUUCGUUUGGUUUGGUCUGCGAUGUGCUUCUUCGUGUUUGUUUUGCUGUUCUCUUUCGUUUUUUUAGCUGUUUGGUUUGGUUUGGUUUGGUGAUCUGAGGAUGGACGCCGGCGAUGAGGAAGAACAUGGUUCGCUCGUCUGAACGGUGGGUUAUUUACCCACCUUGCAGAUUUUAAAAGUAGUCUGAGCCGAUGCAAAUUUCCUCUGGAUUCAUCGUUUUCCUUGAUGAGUUACUGGCUUUACAGUUUUAGACCUUAAAAAUCCUUUGUUUUCACUUAUGUUUCUGUCCAGUGAAAUCUCUCCGUUGGGAUAUUCAGUUGCAGUGAUGAGUAUCUCUUUUUUCGAGAGCAGGUCUCGAUCUGCUUGAUGAGUCUGGGAAAUAAUCACCUUAUUUCCUCCUGAGCGGUUACCUGAGCAACUCUUAGCACCAUCCAAACUCUUUGGAGUUUCCCCAACACAUCUGACUUUUCUUGGAAUACAAUUUUUUUUUUUUGCUUUCUUAGCUUCUUGUUUGUCUCACUUUGCUGAUUUAAUAGAUUAACGUUUGCAUAUAAUCUCAAUUUUCAGGUUCAUUUUCAACUGCAAAUUCAGAAUGUACUUAAAAACAUCAUUACGCAAGAGACACAAACUCUCUAGAAUGGCACACAUAUCAUUACAUCAAGUUUAGUAGAAAGCUACAUCAUAUGAUUGAGGACCAACACUUAACCUGCGAUUGCAAGUUGCCCUCAAACAAGAUCAGGGCAACGCAAGCAACGAAGGAGAUGGCAAAAAACACAUCCCCCGACAAGUUACAAUGUUCAGCUACAGCAGCAUCCACAGAUGACACUUAUGACAGAUGCAUCAUCUGCUUGGCACAAGACAACCAUAAGGUCGAAGAAACUUGCAAGAGCAAUGAAGAACGGUGUGUAUGGAAGAGAGCUAUGAUUGAUAUGUUAGGAGGCUUGAUCAUUCGUCGGUCUCUCUGGCAGGUGAUUCUCCUGCUCCAAGAAACGGACGACGAGGCAGGUGAUGUUGUCUGCGCUUCCCCUCUGUGAGGCCUCCUGGAGGAGCUUCUUUGCAGCCUGCUCUGAAUCCAGAAUUGGCUUCACCAUGGCCACAGCUUCCUGGGAUCACACGAGAAUACAUGUUAUUGCUUCAUUUUUUUCACAAGAGAACACAUGUUAUUACUUGCAUUUCAUAUAGGAGAUUUUGAGAAAUUAAAAAUACAUUUCAGAUAGGAGAUUUGGAGAUUGAAAAAACAUGUCAUUAGUACUUUAUUACUGGCUUCAGACUUCAGAGUUCAGAAACAUGCAUUUCAGAGAGGAGAUUUGGAUAAAUUAAAAUGAUUCAGAGAUCAGAAACAUGCAUUUCAGAAAGAUAUUUGGAGAAAUUAAAAUGAUUCAGAGUUCAGAAACAUGCAUUUCAGAAAGAGAUUUGGAGAAAUUAAAAUGAUUCAGAGUUCAGAAACAUGCAUUUCAGAGAGGAGAUUUGGAGAAAUUAAAAUUAGUGUGUACCUCGUUGGUCACCACGUCCCAGAGGCCAUCACUAGCAAGGAUGAGGAACUCGAGAGAGCUGUCGACCACCUCCUCCUGUACAGAUCAAAUAAGCAGAUAAAUGUCGAAUUUCGAUUUGCAACAGUACAUAACGUAAUAUGGUCGUAUCCUGAAAUCGUUCAUGGCCUCUAUGCAUAUACUUUCUUUAUGAGCUGCAUGAAUUAUGAAUUUGAGAUUGGAAGAAACUUGAGGACCUUGAUCUCUGGAUCAGCAACCACAUAUUGCUUCAGGAGUUUGUCACCAAAUGCUCGAGAGACAGCAAGAACACCACCCACGCGCCAUGUUCCUACAAAAUUUCCGCCAACAGAAUUUUAGCAUUUUUAUAGAUUAAGGACUUGGUGUUCAAUGUCGAAAAAAAGGGUAAAUGUAGCAUCAGCACAAUGAAUAGAUCAAGAGUUGAAAUACCAGCCCACAUCACAAAACCACCAGCAUCCUCUAUCCUCUGCCUCUCGUCUGACUGAUCAGGCUUGUGGUCUCUUGACACAGCUAUAGCUGCAUCAUCAAGAUGAAAUAAUGCAUCACAAAACUGAGGUUUCAAUCAUUUUAGAAGCAAAUUGUAAUAGGUAAUAUAGAGUUGCUCGGUUGACACAACGAACAUUCAUGAUACAGACCAGGACAGGACAUUGGUUGAAAAACAUGUACAGGUGAAGCACUUACGCUAUCUGCCCAACAAUCAGUAAAGUAAACAUGAAUUGAAAUGUUCUUAAUCUUACCAUCUCCUCCUCUACAAAUGACAGCCCUAGAAUCUCCAACAUUUGCAACGAGCAGACGGUCGCCUACGAGAAUUGCAGUGGAGGCAGUCGACCCUGCAUCUCGAUUGUGGCUGGUUUCAGCUUUCAGAAGUUCAGAGUCCGUGCUAGUGUAAGUUUCAGCUGCAGGACAGAAUGUUCAGGGAAUUAAACAUCCAAAGUGCAAACAAAAUUUUUGGGUGAAGUAGUUUGCUUUAGAGAAAAUAGACACAGAUAAAUAGCACAAUACCAAUUGCAGACUUGGUAUCACUGAAUAACUUUGGGUGCUUGAUUAAAUUGGUGAAGAGGUUCUGCUUGACGAAUUCUGCUGCUCGAGCUCCACCAUGACCUGCAGAAAACAAACCACGUAGUAUUACGAUCAGUAAUCACUGAAUAAGCAGGUGACGAUAUUUAUUUAAGUCAACACAAAACACUAAUUGCAUCAUGAAAAAGCAUCAGAUUACCAUCAAAGACACCAAACAGUCCAACGGUCUCUCCAUCGACACCAUCAAUUCUGGUGUCAUAGAAGUCCUCCAUGGAGGAUCUUUUUCCAGGAGAGCUCGCAUAACCAUAGCUAAAUUUACCAUUUGCACUGUCAUGAUAACACAAGAAGAACAACAAUAUCAGGUAAUAAUAACAGAAACGAAUUCUCUGUCAAUGGCUAUAUACAGAUAUUCGAAACUAACACUCCCAAUCCAAAAUGAAAAAUCACCCAUCUAAUAAAUAAAAACCCCCAUCGUUUGGCUUUUUUCAUAAUAAGCCAAAACGGCUUAUUAGGAAAUAAAAAUAAAUUUGUAGGUAAAACUUUUAUAUAUGCGUUCUGGGUGAUUUAAAAACCAAUGUUGUUAAAGAAACUACGUUGAAAAUAUCUCAAAAUCAAUCUUAAAAUUAAGUUUAAAAAUUUUAAAUUUGGCUUAUUCGUUGGCUGUUCGGCCCCCAACUUGCUUAAAACGGAUCAAACGAAAACGAAAUCAGAAAGAGAGAUGAAGCGAAACGGAAUACCUGAACCCGCCGCCACUGCCAGGCGAGCCAGCGGCCUCUCCGGCGAGCCCCAUCAAGCGCACCUCGCCGUCGUCCUCCUCCUCCUCCGCUCCCUGCGAGAGACAGGAGCAGCACGGGAACAGCGACAACAAGGCGAGAACCACCAACGAGCCGAGGAGGAGCACCUCACGCAUGCACGCGAACGACGGAGGAGGAAGAAGAAGAGGAUGGCGAUCGAUCCGGGGAACGCGGAGCUCGCUCGUGUCCCCCCUCCCCCCCUAUAAUGGAGGACCGGACGCGCGCGCGCGCCGGGCGUCACGUGGCGCCACGCCGUGCGCGCCACGCCCGCGCCCAUGGUUGGUUUUGGUCUUGUGGUUCUCCUCCUCCUCCUCCUGCUGCUGCUGAGCACGGACGAACACCUCGUCGUGGGAGACGAGGAAAUGGGAGGUGACCUCCACGUGGCGCGAGGGCGACCCGACCGGAGCUCGCGCGGGGCGACACGUCGUCGCCGUGGACGACGGUUUGGCGCCUUCUUUCGCGGUACACGUCAUGGUGGCGAGAUGCAUCGAACAAACUCCGUACUAUUCAACUGUUUGAUGCUUUCCACCGUCCAGAUGUUGCAAAUUAAGUGCUUCAUAUGCUCUUUAUUUUUUAGAAAUUUAAUAAUUUAGCAAUUGUUUUUGUUAAUUUACUUGAACGGAUACUAAUGAAGAUGAUACUACGUAAGAUCAUCUAAAUGCAUAAAAGUGAAUUAGGAUAUCAGAUAAUCGAGACCUAAUUUAAAAGUACAAAAUAGGGUCGGAUCAAAUACUUCCAACGUGUUGAAACAUCUGGAAACGUGUUGAAAGUUCACGAAUCGAACCCAACGCGUUCGUACUCGCCACCGACUCAGAAGUCGGAAAUUAAACUACUCCUUGUAUAGAAAAAUCGAAAGGCUUUUCAGAUUCAAUCAUCAAACCAAACCUGUUCGAUCGACUUCGCCCCGGUUCGAAGUUCGCCCGCCAUGGCCGCCGUGUCGUGCCGGUGCAGCAGCGUGGUGUUCGUCGGCAACGUCUCGUACCGGGCCACCGAGGCGGAGCUCCGCGACGCGUGCGAGGAGAUCGGCCCCGUCGAGUCGCUCCGCCUCGCCGUCGACGAGGACGCCGGCAACCGGCGGAGGGGCUUCGCGUUCGUCGAGUACCUCGACGACGAGACCGCCCGCAGCGCGUGCCGCAACCUCGACCGCCGCGCCCUCCGCGGCCGCGCGCUCCGCGUCGACCUCGCCGACCUGGGCUGCGGCGGCGGCGGGGGCGAGACGGACUAGCCAGUGGGCGUCGAGGACGCCACGCACGCGGCGUCGCUCGUCAACGGCGCGCCACCCAGCGCCGCCGUCACGGCGUACCUCGCCGGGCUGAACCGGCGGCAGCUGCGCGAGACGGUGGACGCGGUGGAGGCGCAGGGGGACGCCGCCGUGGAGGAGAUGAAGCGGGCGUACGCGGGGCUCGCCACGCUGCUCGAGCAGGCAAGGAUACUGCUCGACAUGGCCGACGCCGACGCCGCCGCCGCGGCGGCGAAGCGCAAGAAGCGCGGCGCGAGGGAUCACCACCACGGCCGUGAGGCCCAGCUUGCGUCAAAGCUGAGGAAGCUGAACGAUGGCAAGCCCAGCACAUCCAUGGCGUUUGUACUGUAGCUAGUCGUUCACAACCCAAUCGCAGCCCAUGGGCCGGUUUCAGCUGGGCCGGCCCAAGCACAGAGAAUUUCACCGGCAUCCUGCACAACGAGAUGGCACGGCCGAGAUGACUACCGAUAGAGUAAAACGUGCUCGGUUAAACACGAUUCGCCAUUUCGCCCCCACGUCGGCCCGCAGAUCGUACGAGGUCUCUCCACGACACACAUUUGCAUUAGCCACUGCACACAAAACCAUAUGUGCACAGCAAAAAGAUCAACUGGAGGCAAUGGGUGGAUUUUGCCGACAUGUGGGCGUUUAUUUUCCUUGGACAAGAUCAGUGCUUUCCACGGUAGCAGAUCUAGAUCCACAGGUAUAAUGCAUUUGCAUAUGGUCACAACAAUGUCAGGUCUUUAUGAAACACGCGCCUCUGCAAGACUGCAACAUACAGCCUUCACAAACGUACAACCUGCGUUUAAUUUCGGCCUUAAGCCACAGAAUGUUAACGAUUCUAUCUACCAACUGUAACUGCAUAUAGCCACAUUCAUGACUGAUAAGAUAAUUUCAGAUAAAAGUAGUAGAUGAAAUUUGAGCUAUUUAAUCAUGUAUUAAGUUAAAAAAGUUGAAAUAUCUUAUAGUAUAUGAAAUGGAAGUAGUAUAGGAGUCCGCAUAACAUUGUGAUAGGAAUAGACAAAGGUAAAAUUGCUCAAGACUUCAAACCUACUCCCAAAAUAAGCAAACGUAAAAUAAGAUGGAAAAUAACCUAGUAUAAAGAAUCUGGAUAUGGCUAUAUCUUAUCAUAUUUUAGGUUUCUUUAUUUUGGAAAAAAAAAGUUUUGGGCUCAUUUGAAUUGCAGGAACGAAAAAAAAUAAAGCAAUAGAAAAAACAUAUGGUUCUGACAGAAAUGCAAGUGUAAAACUAUAAUUAUAAAAUACAAAAAAAAACAUAUGAAUAACUAUUAAAAUUACAUAAAUUUGAGAAGAGAUAAAGACUUAAAGGAAACUUCCCAUAAGAUUCUACCUCUUAAAUUUCCUCCAAAACUUACAUGAAAUGAGACAUUUUAUAGAAUUUCUUAGAAUUUAAUGUUUUGAUUCGGAGGGCUAUAUAAGAAAAAAGUCUUAUAGGAAUAAAUUCUCUAAAAUUUCUAUGAUUUUCCUUUAAAUCAAAGGGGUCUAAAUGUCCCAUUCUAUUUUAACAUGGGAUGGAGGGACUAAGGGUCCCUUUGAAUCGCAUGAAUGGAAAAACGGAGGAAUAGAAAAAACGUAGGAUUUUGACAGGAAUGCAAGUGUAAAACAGAGGAUUGAAAAAUACAGGAAAAACACAGAAAUAACCGUUUGAUUGGACCACAAGAAAAACGCAGGAAUCGGAUGAGAGAGAUAGACUCAAAGGAAUUUUUCCAAGAGGUUGGACCUCUUGUUAACUUUCCUCCAAAAUCUCUAUAGGAUUAGUCAUUCUAUAGGAACUUUUAAGGAUAGUAUUGGAUCCAAUCCUUUAUUUCAAAGGCUUUCAUAGGAAUUUUUUUAAUAGGAUUAAAAUCCUUCAAAUUUCCUACACUUUCCUACCAAUCAAAGGGGCCCUAAAGUUCAAAAGUCUAUGAAUCGCAUAUGAACUGACACCGAAAUGCACUACUCGCAAAGAAGUGCAUUUGUGUGUCAUCUUUUCAGUACUGUACAGUGUACACAUUGCAUGUCUAGUGACCAGUGACACGGGUGUGACAGGGAAGGGGGGCCUGAUUGUCUGGAUCUUGGUGUCCUCUCUCUGACACUCCGAUAUUCAUCUUCAAUUAAAUUUAGGUCUCUCACCAAAAUUUUAGUCUCUGAGAGGACUAAAGUUUAGUCCCUCCCACCCAAACAUCACCUUAAAUCGUGUAACUAAAGAUUAAGGGACUAUUUAGUUUACGAACAAAAACUUUUGGCGUGUCAUAUUGGAUAUACGAACACACAUUUAAAGUAUUAAACAUGGAUUAAUAACAAAACAAAUUGCAGAUUCCGUCUUAAAAUUGCGAGACGAAUUUAUUAAGCCUAAUUAAUCCGUCAUUAGUAAAUAUUUACUGUAGUACCACAUUGUCAAAUCAUGGCGUAAUUAGGCUUAAAAGAUUCGUCUCGCAAUUUACACGCAAUUUGUGUAAUUGGUUUUUUUUAAUCUAUAUUUAAUAUCCUAUAUAUAUGUCCAAAUAUUUAACGUGACGGAGUGAAAAACUUUUUGUUUCGAAACUAAGGCUGUGUUUAGUUGGAUCCAAAGUUUGGAUUUUGAUUGAAAUUGGAGAUGAUGUGACUGAAAAGUUUUGUGUGUAUGACAGAUUGAUGUGAUGGAAAAGGACGGAAGUUUGGAUCUAAACACAGUCUAAACAGGCUCUAAAGAACGUGACGUGCAGACGAGAGGAACACACUCCCAUGCCGGAUCUCUGCCACUGUCCUCUGCAAUCUAGGAGGAGUAACUUUUGAUGACAAGACGACGUGCCUGCAAAGGUGUCACGUCCUGAGCUCUUUGCAGAGUCAGGAUAUGCCUUCCUUGCCUCAUCAGGUUUCCGUGCUCAAACUUCCAAAGCUGCCCACUUUGAAGUUUGAAAAAGAAGCAAGAAACAGAGAAAAGAACAGCAUGCAAAGAAUGGCCGUGUGCCUUUUUUUCCUGCAUUGUGGACGGAAGAACAGGUCGCAAUUUUCUGCCUCGUUUGUUCAGUACCAAGAACACAGAUAUAUGUGCAGUUAUUCAGUUGAUUCUGACGGUAGGUGGGAAUAGAAAUUGUACUACCUGAAACCUGAUCGUUCGUCUUAUUUUAUUUUUUUUAAAAAAAUAUAAAGAAUAAGUCACGCAUCAUAUUUUAUAAUCUAAUAACAAUAAAAAUACUAAUUAUAAAAAAAAAUUAAAUAAGACGGAUGAUCAAAGUUAGGUAGAGAACUUAUGGCUGCACUUAUUUUGGGACAGAGGGGAGUAGUACGAUUUGGUUUUGCAGAACUUUUUGUAGUAGUACUAAAACACAGAAGUCAGAAACAGGCAACAUUCUGUUUCUGUUGAACGGGUUUCGCUUGAUUGGACAUGAUGGCAGAAAAGAUGAUGGAGCACUCAAGAGAGAAGCUGCAUUCUGCUGCAAUUGAAGAGAAGAAUGGCAUCAUAAUUACGAAUAAUAUACUAUUCUCAUCGAUCAGGUUUCAGUUCUGAUCACAGCUUAAUCAGUGACUUGCACAUUAUGAUCAAGGGAGUAUUCGCCGCUUCCCCAUUUUAUGUGCCCCGGCCUUUCUCCUCCGGCUAGUUCGAUCUCAAUCCCCUCUUUCUCCAUCCAAAGAUCUCUCUUCCUUCGCAUCUAUUUUCCUGAAAAGAAUGAAUUCAAAAUGUUACUAUUUGUUUCCUGCACCAUUCAAACAUUCAAUAUUACAGAACAAGGUUCAAGUUCUCAAAAAAAAAAAAAAAACAAGGUUCAAGUUCUGAACUUCUGAUGCAUUAUAACAGUUCCACAUGGCGCAAAGGUAAAUGACAAGCAUCCAAGCAUGUAAUUGAAACAAUGAAUAAAGUUACUAAAUAAUGAGUUAUGAUCCAUAAUCUCAGUUACAUUGUUCAGAGUGAAUUUAUCCAUUCAACGGACGAAGACUAAUGGGCAGCAGUACUCUAUACGACGAUACAAAGACCUAACAAUUUCUCAAGACAGGACUGAUUGUGUAUAUAGAGGUUCUGACCAUUCUUAUACUACCAGAGAGAAGUAUUUAGGUUGUGCUUGCAAAAAAGGACUCUGAAGAUGACCACACAACUGAAUGUACUAUAAGAAUCUCCUAGAAAAAAGAAUGUACUACAAGGCAUACAUGUUCCGUUGUCUAAAUGAAUAUAUCUUCAGCCAACAAUGGAAAAGUGAUUACGAUAGCUCACUAAGAAAUAAAAGAAAUGGAUCACAGCAAGGGUUGCAAUUAAACCACAGGAUGAAGGUACAUUGUUUGAUAGGUCACCAUUAUGAUGGCCUCAAUGUCACUUGAACAACUUCUACAAGCAUGAGUGCAUCAAGCUAGAAAGAAAGUAUGAUCAGCAAAACACCUAAAUGGCAUACUGAUCAUAUGUGUAGUAAACACUUAUGUAAAGCACACAUGUCAGUGUUCCCCCCAAAGCAACUAAACAACUAACCAUGCAAGUAAAGGAACAAUGAAGGCAAUCUUGCCGAACAAAGGAUUUAAACACACCACCAACCGCUCAGUCCAUGACAAUGAAAACAAUAUGCUUUCCCUAAGCUACAGAUCAUGGCCAAUGUGGACCACAAUUGGGUACACCUGCGACAACUAGUACGCGAUAAACAGGUAAAGUUAGCAGAAGUUACAGUGCUAGGCAGUUGUAAGCAUAUUGCAAGUGCACACCUCCUGAAUUACUACACCCUUUUCAGUACCAAAACUGGCCAUUGUGUGGAGAUUAUCUAACUUUUACUGUUCACACCAUUGUCCUUUCCAUUCUCCCGGCCUAGCAAAGACAUUCCACCCCCACAUUCAGUUAUGAAAUUAACAGUAGAGCAUGUUCUGCUAUGUUCUACACUUCCUAUUCUAAAUGACAUGAGACACAGGGUGAAUUGCAACUAGGUGCUGUUCUGUACUCCCCCGUCCCAAUACGUAAGGGAUUUACCCGGCAAAAAAAUAUAUAAGGGAUUUUGAGUGGAUUUGACACAUCCUAGUAUUAUGAAUAUGAACAGAGAGCACGUCCAAAUUUGUAGUACUAGGAUAUGUCACGUCCAUCCAAAAUCUCUUAUAUUUUGGGACGAAGGGAGUACGAGGCAUUAGCAGUUGCACGGAAGUGGCAAGCAAGGGCCAACCACUGCAGAUCCUGAACUCCUAGAAGAAAGAUGGGGCCGUACGCGUGCCAAAUUAACAACCAAAGCACACACAUAUACCAAGAUGCAUGAGAUUAAUGUGGACAUUGAUUAGUACUGUCAUCAGAUAUCGCAAUCUUGGACCUCGAUAGAAAAAAGGGUCAAGAAAAACGCCUCUUGUUUUUGUCAUAGGACGUACUACUAAUUAACCAACAGCAUCAGAUCCCUAGAGCAGACUUACACAGAAGCAAUGACAAAACAGCAAUGGUCCCUGUCAUCCCAACAUCAGAUUAAUUGCUUUUCGGACUAACACACAUCAGAUCAGUUUAUUUAUUAUCAAAUAAUUAAACAAGAUUAGGAAAUCUCAACACUUUGACAAGAAAAAUAUCCCCACCGCAAACAGCACAUCAACACAUUACUCUCAAGGAGACGAGACGAAAAUGCGUUGAGACUUGAAACAGUACAGAACAUCACUGUCAUUUUCCCUUGUAAGACUCAAUGUCACUAAAAAACAAUCGACUCCACCCGAAUAAAUCACUUGCUAGAAUUUUGUAACCCGGAUAAUCAAGAACUAGUUGCUCAAAGGUAGCAUGUGCUACGGUGCAUCUUUUAUUACGCUACUGUAAGUUUAUACCAACAGGUUCAUGCUUUUUAAUCAAUAACAGUGAUUAAACAGUGGCAUUGCGAAUCCGAAUUGCGAAACAGUAUUAGCACUGGUAUGAAAAAGAAUGGCUGAGGGAGAAGAAUUGAGCCCUAACCUCCUCCUCCGCUCCCGCGUUCCUGGCAGCUCAUCGACCUCCCGACCUUGCCGGCGGCGCGUUCUUGGUGGCGGCUAUCGUUGGCCACCUUCGCCGAGUGAACCCUGAAUCCGGCGCCAGCCCUGCCGGCGUCGGGGACCACAUCGUCGGGCGCCGUCUCGACAUACUUGGCGGCGCCCAUCUCCAUCUGCGCGAUGCGCACGGCGCCGAAGAGCCUCUCGGGGAGCUCCUCCUCGGACUGGGACUCGACGAGGAACCCCAUGUCGAUGGUGACGGAGGUGACCGCGCCGAGCGCGAGGUGGAGGAUGGCGCUGGCGAUGGCGGAGCUGCCGAUGUCGACGUCGAUCUCGAGGUAGCCGUCCCCGCCGUGGUAGCGGCAGGUGAGCGCGCGGCCGAGGAGGCAGGCGGCGUAGUUGCCGACGGUGGCGCGCACCAGCCACGGGCCCUUCACGAUCCGGUUCACGAUCUUGAACCGCGCGUUCCGGUACGCGUCGUCGCCGUGGACGAACCGCCCCAGCAGCGACUCCGCCGGGAUCGCCGCCUCCGCCGCGAAGUAGAACACCGCGCUGUACGCGUCCGGCCGCCCCGGCACCUGCACACGAACCGAACCAAGAGAUUGAUUGUCACAAACAAUUCGAUCGGCGUCGACGCGCAGAUGCGAUCGAUCGGGGGGGGGGGGGGGGGGGAACGGACCUGGAGAUUGACGGCGAGGAGGAAGUGGGCGGAGGGGUCCUUGCGGAGGCGGGCGCGGCGGAAGGCGGCGGCGACGGGGAUGUCGUCGCGGGCGAGGACGUGGUCGAGGCGGGAGUGGCUCCUUAACCAGUCGACGCCGGCGGGGCGGAGGAGCCACUCGGCGGCGGAGGGCGCCUUCCCGCGCCUCCCACCCCCACCACCGCCACCGCCGCCGCCGCCGCCGCCGGAAAAGUACCCCCUCGCGCGCAGGUGGAACAAAUCCCCCGGCGGCGAGGCCCACCCAUUGGCGCCCCUCUCCAGGUCCACCUGCCUCAGCGAUGCGCCCGACACCGCCUCCUCCCUCCACCCCUGCUGCUGCUGCUCCUCCGCCUGCUCCCUCCUGGGGCUCAUCGCCGCCGGCGAGGGGAGAGACAAUAAAAGAAAAAACAAAAAAGAAAAAAAAAGGAAGGGAUUUUUGGUUGGGGGAGGAGAGGAGGUGGGUUCGGUGUUUUUGCGCGAAUGGAGGGAGGAGUUGGGGGUCGCUGCUUCUUCUUCCAGCUCUACCUAUAAAACAGUGGGAAAGAAAAGGAAAAAGGAAUUUUUGAUGCGUGAUUCGUAGAGGAACCAAAAUAAAGGUCUCGCCUUUGCUUUGAAGCACCUCUCCCCCUCCCUAAUUUGCACUUCUCUUGUUGAUUAUCUUGAUGUUUCUAUUUUUUUUUCUCGAAACACGGGACAAACGCGGAUGCUAGAAUACAUACGUGUACAGUCAUCUACAGAUUGAUGGAUCAUCGUGAGGUUUUUUCUUCCUUCCGAAACAUGAGACAAGCAUGGAUCGCGAAUGCUAAGAGGGUGUUUGGGUGAAAGUUUAGUCCCUCUCACCCAGACACCCCCUAAUAUAUAUACGUGUACACUCAUUUGUAGAUUGAUCGAUCAUCGUGAGGUUUUUUCUUCCUUCCCAAACAUGAGACAAGCAUGGAUGCUAGUAUACAUACGUGUACACUCGUAUCUAGAUUUAUCAUCGCAAUGUUUUAUUUUCGAAUGCGGUUACUCGAAUAUUUAUGUAGUUAUGUACAUACUCAUCUCCAUAAAUAUAAUAUGAGCAAAAAGAAAAAAAAACUCUUGUCUUUGCAUUUAAGCAUCUCUCGUCCUCCCUAAUUUGCCCUUCUUUCGUUGAAUAUCAUGACUUUUUUUCGAAACACAAGAUAAAAGCGGAUGCUAAUAUAUAUACUUGUACACUUUUCUAUAGAUUGCUGACUAUGAUUUUUUUUCUCAAAACACGGGACAAACGUGGAUGCUAGUAUACAUAUGUGUACAGUACACUCAUGUAGAUUUAUCACCACGAUGUUUCUUUUUCUUCUCAGAACAUGCGGACGCGGAUGCUCAUAUAUAUACGUGUACACAUCUCUAUAAACAUAACAUACGCAAAGGAAAAAGCCCUUACCUUUGCGUUUAAGCAUCUCUCGUCCUUCCUAAAUUGCACUUAUCAUGAUGUUUUUUUCGAAACACGGGACAAACACAGAUGUCCAAUGUGAUAUUUUUUUCCCUAAACACACGACAAACGUGGACGCUAGUAUACCAAUGUGUAACCCACCCUCCCCUCCCCCACUCCCAGUAUACACAUGUGUACACAUCUCUAUAAAACGUAACACGCGUAAAAAAAAGCUCUCACCUCUACGUUUAAGCAUUUCUCCUCCUCUCUAAUUUGCGCUUCCGUGUUGAUUACCAUGAUGGUUUUUUUUCAAAACAUGGGAUAGACAAGGAUGCUGGUAUAUAUACGCGUACACUUAUCUUCAUAAACUUAACAAGUAGAUUCUAUUCAUUUGAUCACCUCCAAAAAAAAAAUGGACUAUUGACGAAGUACCUUGGUGUGUUAGCAUUGUUUUUCUUCAACUAGUAAUUACCAAUUAUAAUGCGUGAUACACGUUGCACUAUCCAUGAAAUUUAUCAUAAUUUUUAGAUAAUCCGUAUGUAACAAUUUAUGAUGAUCACAAACACGGUUAACGUUUUCGACUAACAAAGACCAAAAAACCCCAUGAAAUAUAGAGGUUUCGAUGCAGUACAAAAGCAGAUUCUAUGAAAUUCGGAAUGGUUUUCAAUAAUUCAAAUUUAAGACAGUAAAAUCAGCCAAAAUUUGAUUAAAAUUUAGUGAAAUUUAACAAAAAAAAACUGUCAUGUCGCUAUGGUCGAUCGGAAUCCGGCACUCAAUCAGAAGGGUAAACCAUAAUCCGUGAGCGUAUAAGAAAACCGGCGAGGAGUCGUAGGAAGAAACAACAGACGAGUAAGCGAUAGAUAGUUGGAUCUCGAAUUUGCGUUGCUGCCUUCGUGGGAACGAACGGUCGCCACGCCUUCGCCUGCGUACGUGCUUGUCCUGUCCGGCGACGGCGACGGCGGCGGCGGUGGCGAGGAUCCACGUACGCUGACAUGUGGGGACACACGGCGGCGCCGUACGCCGGCGCGUGGACUCGCGACACGUGUACAUGCGACGGAACAGUUGAGGGGUUGGAUCUGAAUCAUCUGAUCUGAUCACGAGAUGCGAUCGUGCGAUGCGCCACCGACAAGAUUCGGGGGGGUCGUAGUGCCUCUUAUCGCAUCGACCGUCCAGUCUCCAUCCGACGGUCCGAAAGUAGGACACGUCGAACAAUGCAUAUACAUACUGUACAUGAUUACGCCUACGUGUGUCAGCAACAGUAUUUUUCUUUAUAAUUACACAAUGCAACUUAGACACUCCCAACGUAUGGGCACUCACCCCUAUGAACACACGCACACAAACCCUACCCAGAGCAUCUUCGAAGACUGCCUACCACUGAAAGCACAAUGCCGAUAAAUCCGCGAAGAUUGCCUACCACUGAAAGCACAACGCCGAUAAAUCCUGAAAAAUUCGCUCCCAUAUAGAGUCGAACCUAAGAUCUAAGGUGCUACUGAGUUUCUUGUAACCAUUAGGCUAUAGGCCCUUUCGCGUGUCAGCAACAGUAUUAUGGCUGAAGGAGCCGCAAGCACUCACCAAUUGUACAUGCAUGGCCGUUUGCUUGGCAAAUACAGAAUCACAUGAUACAUCAAUUUUUCAACUUGCACGAGAUAAAAAGUGACUGCUUAAUUGGGCAUGCAAAUUUUCAACGCAACUAUGCACAUCAUUUGUACUGUUGUACAAUACUUGCGCAAUGGACUGACAACUGAUGGAAGUAUAUAUAAUCGAAACUGGAAGUACUCCUUCCUCCAUUUCAGAAUGUAAGACUUUCUAGCAUUAUCUAUAUUCAUGUAGAUGUUAAUGAAUCUAAACACAUGUAUAUGCUUAGAUUCAUUAAUAUUCAUAUGAAUAUAAGCAAUGCUAGAAAGUCUUACUUUAAGAAACGGAUGGAGUACUUAAGAGUGCUUAGCAAUCUUUACCUUUUCAUUCCUGUUUUAUUAAAAACCGACCAAAAAGGUAAAACCCGAUAACUUUCGAUAAACGUCAUAUAAAAACCGACUAAUAUCGAUCGGUUUUCAUAUAUUGAGAUCUAAUCGGUUUAGUGAACCCUCAUACUAUGUAUAGCUACUAAUAAUAAGGUAGCAGUUGGCAGUUGUGAGUCGUCUCUGCUACUUCUUCAGUUAGCGUCAAGAUGUGAGGCCAGAUCAAGAUGGCAGUUUAAAGCAUCCACAGCUAGCUAAGCUCCAUGGUCGACGGAGUAAGGCUACAGUACACAAACAUGUGGAUAUCGGUUUAUAAUAAUCUUGCGACGAAAUUAGUAGUAUAUCGAGACUCGUGUCUGUUGAAUCUAUCCAUUAUCAAACACCAGUGGCCGGCGUGUUGUGUCCAUGUGCAACAACAGUAUAAAUUAUACCUCCUGGCACUGACAAUCUCCUCUUAAACUUUCCCAUUCUUUGACAAAAUAUUGAAAUGAGAGCUGACCGAUUUAUGAAGAAGAAGCAGGGCCUGUUUGGCAGCUCAAGCUCCAGCUUCAUCCUUUCUGGAGCUGAAGCUCAGCCAAACAGUUUUAGCUCCACCAAAACUGAGAGUAGAGCUGGGUGAAGUUCUCUCACAAAAUAAACUAGAGUUGUGGAGUUGGGUUUAGGCAGCUCUAUAACUCCACUCCAGACCCAACUCCUAGAGCUAAUUUAGAAGUUGGAGCUGUACCAAACAGGCCCGCAAUCUACUCCUAUCUCUGUUCUUGCCUUGAUCCAUCCUCUUUAACCAACUUUGUGAAUACUGAACAAUUCAGUCUGAAAGUUACAAUACCCUUGAAUACUACUCCCUCCAUCCCAAAAAAGACAAACCAUGGGUUUCCGUGUCCAACUUUUGACCGUCCGUUUUAUUUGAAAAAAUUAUGAAAAAAAUUAAAAAGACAAGUCACGCAUAAAGUAUUAAUCAUGUUUUAUCAUCUAACAACAAUGAAAAUACUAAUUUAAAAAAAAGUUCAUAUAAGACGAACAGUCAAAUGUUGGACACGGAAACCCAGGAUUUGUCUUCUUUUUUUUGGAUGGAGGGAGUACUUUGAACGAAAUGCAUGCCUCUGAAUAUUAUUAUUAAAGUAAAUUUCAGAAAAUCCUAUAUUUUAUGGUCAUAAUGCAUGAAGUAUUAAGCAUAAAUUUGAUCAUAAAACAUGGAGUAGUAUUAAGCAUAACUUAGAAAUGCCUAGCUAACAAGUUGCAGUUGGUUAGGCUGCCAAAUGAUUGGCCAAUCGAGCCAAUGCAACUGCAAGCAGCGGCCAGAAUUAUGCGAUCGAUCGGCGAGCACAUGCACACCCACUUGCAGUGCAGCUAGCAAAACAUUGGACAGCGCAUUUAUGCAUGCACACCGGCCGGCGCGGUUGGAUUCAAACUCAAACAUGGCAAAAACAUCUUUGAAUAAUCCACGGAGAAACAAAUGUUCAGUCAGUCUUUGCAUUGGAAUGCUAGCCAUCGGCAGCCAGUUGCCUCUUUCUUUCUAUCAGCUACAACUACUCUUUUUUAUCUUAAAAUAUAAUAAUUUACAACAUUCUAAUAAUAAAAUACUAUAACUUCUUCUCCUCGUAAUCGGGAUUGCCUACACAUUUGUCGGGUGAUUUUUAACAAGAAAUCACCCAUAUUUUUUUUACACUUAGAUUUAUAUCCAACGGACUACAAAAUAAAAUAACUAAUACAAAUUUACUUAUUCAAUAUUUUUAUCAAAAUUAUAGUGCACUUACAUAUCAUAUCAACUAAAUUUACAUAUGUAAUUUUAGUUAUAUAGGACUGUAAUUUUAUAUUUUAAAUACUUACAUGUCAUAUCUACUGAAUUUACAAAUGUAAUUUUAGUUAUAUAGGACUGUAAUUUUAUAUUUUAAAGAAAAUAACAAAUACAUAUUUACUUACACUUUAUUUUUAUAAAAAUUACAGUGCACUUACAUGUCAUAUCAACUGAAUUUACAAAUGUAAUUUUAGUUAUAUAGGACUGUAAUUCUAUAUUUUAAAGAAAAUAACAAAUACAUAUUUACUUACACUUUAUUUUUAUCAAAAUUACAGUGCACUUGCAUAUCAUAUCAACUGAAUUUACAAAUGUAAUUUUAGUUAUAUAUGUCUGUAAUUUUAGUUACAUAUAAGUUACAGUGUAAUUACACUAUAAUUAUAUUGUAAUUACAUCUGUCAAAUUUCUAAAAAAAAAUUAUCGGCAAAUAUAAAAAAAUUGAAUAGAACAGGUUUCUAGAGAUGGUAGAUUUGUUGGGCAUGGCCGCAUGGUGGUGUAAUCUAGAAGGUCGUCCCGUCCGGCGAUCGUCUCCACUCCUCAUGCCCAAAGGGACGAGCACAGUGCGAACAAGAUCAUCCCGACCGGCUGACCACGCAUGCAGCCUCCACCAUCGUGCGGUCAGCAAAUCCGUGAAAUCACCGGGAAAAAAUCACACGACAGAUUUCUAGCGAAAUCGAAAGUGAAAUGUACAAUACCCCAUGAGAAUCAUGCAUGUUCUAAAAUAUAACUUCUCCUCCCGCUAGUAAUAUUUAACUAUUCAAACUCUUCACAUACUUUCUCAUCUCAACCAAUCAUAACAUUAUCAUAAAAUUUUACCAUUUCUUAAAAACAUUAUCAUAACAAUUUACCAUAUUUUUAGAAAACUAAAAGGGAAAUAAUACCCCAUGAGAAUUGGGGGUUCAAAAUUACAGAACAAAAUCAGUUCUAUCGCCCCCCCCCCCUCCUGAUACAAUAUUAUUUCGUCUGAGAUUUUUUUAAUUUGGUAAUAUUUGUUCAAAUUUGUUUGAAUUUUGUUUAAAAAAAAUCAAAUAACUGUGGACCAAAAUAAUCAAAAUUUCAGCCAUAUUGUUACCCCUGAUACAAAUGGCUAAAAUAAUUAAAUAAAGAUCGAACCUUGAAAAUCAUGCUAGGGUCAGCAUUCGAAUCCAGGUGGGCUCGACGAACACCCUCGCACCACGCUAGAGCUAUGCUCAGUUGUCAACAAUUUACUAUUUAAUUUUACUUAUUUUCUUAAUACUCUUAUCUAAUUUUAAAAUCUCUUUGGACGGAAGAGAUUAGCUAGCUUUCUUCUUUCUCCUGCUGCUGCUGAUGCAUAUACUGUCAUAUACUGUAUGAGCUUGUUUUAUUCGCUAAUGCGUUUGCUUAAGCCAAUCGUUAGACAGAGAGACAGCAGCCAAGUGGACAGAAAAACAGCAGCAGCAGCACACGCAUGCGUGAUCACCUGGCUGUAUUCUCUCCUCUCUCCUCUGCGCUGGUCGCAGUUGUUGCCAGCAGGGAGUUCAGAUGAUUGUUUUGAUCUGAAUAAUUCAGAUUUCAGGCUGGUCUUAAACAUUUUGGAGAUGGGAAGUUUACAGGAAAUCUUUGCUGCUGCUCUCUUCUGGAUGAUUUGUCCACUUGUCAGAAGUGAAGCAACAUCUAGCUUGAAGCAUAAGCGCAGGAAAACAAAUCUGAAAGACCUAAUUAGCUGUAAUUGUAAGGCAUAAUAACUUCGAAAAGGUAAAUCGUAAAGAGACAGUAAGCAAUGGCUUAACAGAUACCCAUUCUAUGGAUGUCAUCUUCAGUUUAUUCCCAAGGAACAAAGUAUGUGCAUCUCAUAUUCUUAUGCCAUUAUGUGCUCAUCUUUACUUUCUUUUUCAAGUAUAUGGCCCCAUCUUUCCGUUCAAGAAAAAUCUGAAAAUGUUUAUGGCCUCGUCUGCUGAAACAGGAGUUGAACAAGAGUGGCCGAAAACCGAGGCAGUGAGGAAGCACAUGGGCUUGUACGAAUGUACAACCAGACUAUGUUUCAUUUAGGCCUGAUUGCUAAGCCCAUUUAUUUAAAUUGGAUUAUUUCUGGGCCUUCUGGUGGAGCACAUGGGCUUGUACAAUUGUCCAACACAAGUUUAGACUAGAUUAGUAGGAUGCCUUUAUUCAUCCUUCUUUUUUUUUUCUGUAACUGUCGCUCGAAUAAAGUCAUUUAUCAACUUUGCUGGAAGAGUGGAAGAUUAGCAGUAAUCAGUGUAGUGGAGUAAGUUCUUUCUGUGUUGUCUCGUGAUCUGAUAUAACAUGCUGACCACUUGUAAACAUUGUAAGUUUGUUACACACUGGCACAACUCAGGAUCGAUCAUUACAAGGCAGUACUUUUUUUUAAAAUAAUAAUAAUAAUAAUCUUUGAGCAACACAAGCCACUGAAAUCAGGACAACCAAGUGUUGAGACUAUAGGUAAACUUCUGGUUCUAUUGUCAAGCCAACCUCAUUAAUUAGCUGCCUAACUUUUCAUCUUUCCUAAUCUUGGUCAUAGUCAAACAUGCACGGAAAUUUUUUUUUUCUUAUCUUAAUCGUAAUAGUCAAGCAUGCACGGACAGCCUCGUAAAGAAGAUUACACAAGUGCAGGUAUAAAUUUAACUUGAAGGAUCAUGUUGAUCCAUUCAGGCAGUAGCAGCAGCUAACCAACCAAACAAUGCUGAUUCACUGAAGAGUCAAGGAGAUGGGCAAUUUUUCCUCUGUUAGGAGCAACUGAUCAGGACGAGCUAAACUGAUAUCUCAUCACAAGCUACAUGCAUCAAAAUCCACUUCCUUAUCAAUCGCCACAAUUUCAUGCAUAAUCUUGUAACUACUUCAGGGCUCUUCAAUUCUUUCAGAGAUCAGUACCAAUUGAUUACCAAAUGAUAGUAUGAGCCGCAAAAGUGGUUGGGAAAACACUGCACUUUUGCGUCUCUGCAUUGCCUGAAGUUUAGCAAAGCUGUUGAGGCAUGCGUAUGCAUUGAUCAACAGAAAGAUCACAAUGCUGGCUAGUGUUAUGAUUUUCACAAGUCAAACAGAAGAAGUUUUGUGUUCAGCUACUCUGAAUUUGAGUUUUGUUUUUUCUGCAUCUACUGUUGUUAAGAUCUCUGAAACUCACGAAUGGUCGAGAUUUUCAGGGCCGAUUUGUCUCAUUAGCCGACGAAAUAAAGUACUACUCCCAAAUGCUUUGAUGAUCCCAAAUGCUGUCCGAUUCAAUUGAAAAGCCUGAUGAAGUAGUGGGGGGAGUUUCCAUGUUCUUUUCUGUCAUACCAGUGACCUGCUACCGAAGUACAUGCUUGUGACAUUUCUUGGACUAUCUGUACACCGAUAUACUAUCCCCAGUCUGUUUGAUCAUUCUGCAUUACACAGAUAUCCCAUCAUGUGAAAAAGAACUAUCUUAAUUUACACCGCUAGUGAUUUCUCUUGGGUGUAAUCAUAUAUUCAUAUUUGAGAGUAAGAAUGUCUGAAUUCAGAAUUUGAAAUGUCGAAAAGAUGAAAUUUUGAGGGAGAAAUGGGUUGAAAUAUAGGUGUGUGAGGGCUCUCCCUUUUGAGUUGAUCAGAGGUGUUUCAGUGUUUGUCACUACCGGUAUCUUAUUUUAAAUCGCUAAUCGUUUCUCUUGGGGACAACAUAUUUAUCACUGCAUUCGAGAGUAAGAACGCUUGAAUUCAGAAUUCGAAACCUCCAAAAGAUGAGAUUUUGAGGGAGAAAUGGCUCUAAAAUGUGAGCAUCUGAGGCUUUCACUUUCUCUUGAGUUGAUCAGAGGUGUUUGUCAGUACCGGUGGUUUGGAUGGCAAAACACGGCCAGGACCAGGGCUACGUCCAUAUCGCAUCAUCAACUGAUGCGACAUGAUUCUAGUUAGUCGGUAGGCGUGUCCAUCACCAACAUGUAUGUCCUUGUCCCUGCAGCCUCCAUCCCCUGCCUCUUCAUCGUGACAAACUCUGCAAUCUACUCUCUGCAGGAAAGAUAGAUAGCUUACCUGCAACCUGUGACAAAAGAAAACUGACAAUACGAUUCAGUCUAGAAAAAGACAGGGUUCUGCAUUGUGUUGUGGUAAUCAAAUUCUGUUCAUGUUGGACUAGUAAUGUCAUCUGAUUCGGCUAUCAUGUUUCAUGUUAGUUAGUAGAUGAUACUACUUAAGUCUUAACAUACAUAAUUAAUAUGCCUUGUUAGUUAAUUAUGUUAUCUUCUUCAGCACAUGUGACUGAAAAUCUAUGCUGCAUCUUCAUCCCAUUGUUUGUGAACUGGGAGACUGGAAAUUAUUAGUACUAGUGGAGCACUGGUGUUGCUAACAUCUGUUUCAUUCUGUGGGUCCUGGGGCCCAUUCAUUGCCAUCCCCUGAAAAUUCCAAGAACAAAUGGGGCCCACCUGGUGAUACUCUUGUGGGCCCAAGCGGCGCGGCUGUGUUAAGCUGAAAUGUGCUCAACGGUCCAAUUGCAAUCAGAGGGUUUAUCAGGUCAGCUCGUUUAAAAUAACACAGCAAAGAAUCUAAAAGCUGCAUUUCUCAUGCCAAAGUGCUGCUUCAGUCCACUGUGCUAUGAUAACAAUCUCCCUAUUCCGACAUAAAUAAUUCUGUUUUUGCUUGCAAGCUUGUAACAGGGAGUCAGGGACCCACAUUUUUGGGGUCCCAGAGAUUCUUUUUUCUGAGAAUUGAGAGUGUCAGCACUCAAUUAUGCAGUAGAUUACUACUGAGAAAGAGCUAGUGGUACCUGGUAAUGGAAGUGUUUGCUUCGUGCUUAGUGCUACUAAGUAAGACAGCUGUUGCAUCUAGCUUGUAACUGUUUAAUUACUGUGCAGGGCAGUGCAAAGCAUGUGGAUAUGGGUGAUGGGGAUCUUUGUGCCCCCAGUAUUGAGGUAGCCCAUGUGUGGUCUGCAGCUUAAUUAAUCAUUCAUUCAUGCAUCUAUCUUCUUUGUUAACAAAGGUAGUACUGGCUCCUUUACCCUGAAAUGCCUUCUGUUCUCCUUCUUAAUCAUGAUAGCAAGGUUUGCAUUUUUUUUUAGACAUUACAGGCACAAUUGGAAUUGGUACUUGCCUGGCAGUAAAAGAAGAAGUACAAUUGUAAUUUGAUCAAUUUUGUCAAAACUGUCCUUCCCUAACAAAGAAUUCCUUGUGAAGUAGUAGCAUGUAUAUGAUUCCUUAUUCUUUCCUCAUGCGUCAUGUCUGCUCAGCAAAUUAAUGAUUUCUUUUCAUAAAAAAGGAGCCUUAGUGAUUCUUCUUUUUUGAUUUGAAAGCAUACGAUGAUUCCAAUUUAAAAAAGCACACCAUAAAAUAGCCUUUUAGAGCUGAUCAUUCUCAUAGUUCCCCUUUGGUGCUUCUUCUUUUGAAGAUAAAGAUAGGCCUAGCAGGUGCAUCCACAAGGGAAAAAGGCAAACCAACUGUUUCCGUUGUCAAUUCUGAAUUACUAAUAUAAGAGUCUCUGGAUGCUGCAUAAUGCAGGCAACUUUUGAGAAUUAUCAAUAGACCAAGAAAGAGUACUACGCAAUUGCCUUGUCAUUUCAUUCCACUGAAUGCCAAGUGCAGAUCAAGCCAGAAGCACUAGGCAGUGUCAUUUUUGCUGAGGUGUAGCUAUCCAGGAUCAUAUCGGUAGAGAAGACCAAGAAAAAAGAUAGCCAUGUAUCUGUCUUCCAGACACUUCAAAAGGUGGAGUAGAAGAUAAACCUGCAUGAAAAUUCAGUGGUAGAAAAUUUACAAAAAAAUAUAUUUUUAUACGGUACAUAUACACCCUUGAAUUUCUGGUAUAAGUUCUGCAUACACAUGAUCAAACCAUGUACUGACAGCAACUGCACCAUUUCUUUGAGUCAUGUACUAUUGCAAUCUUGUAAGCAAUCUAGUAUAGUACUAAAUAUGUUUAGUCAACAACCAUAAUGUAUUUAGAACGACCUAGGAAAUUAAGCUGCAUAUGCAACGUACACUGUGCUAGAAGUCAAAUUCAGGUAGCCCAAGAAAAAACUUUACAUGCAAGCUACUCCAAUGACCAAUGGUCGCAGCGUGUGACUUCAUUGCACGCAUCAUCGUCUCUGUGGAGUUAACCAAAUCUCACGCCCCGACCUGCGAUUUGAGCCCAGAAAACUAAGUACAAACUGAAGAAGAAGAAGAAGAAGAAGAAGAUGAAGAAGAAGAAGAAGUGUUUGUGUCAUUGUGUGUUGCUGGUGAUCACCAACCAGGCCAUAAAUAACCGUAGUUAGAUCCAACCAACUUCCAGUGAUGCACUUGACCACACCACCAUGGCAACAGCAGCACUGACACCUUAAAUGCAAAUACAGUUAUCAAAAAAUAAAUUGUACUACUAGUAGUAGUAUACACUCUACUCUACUGUAUAAAUACUCCACUAGUAGCAGAGUGUGGAUUCAGUUCUUCCCUGUCCGGUUAGGUGCAGCACAUCUACGUUGCUUGCACGCCAGUUCUUCAUCCCUGUCUCCAGUGCACCCAUGGAUACAUGCGUGCAUAAUUUGUACAGUACUAGUACAGUAGUAGUACUGCUAGUUAUUAGUUUAUCACAUUCAAAAUCUUCAGUUUUGAUAUAACAGCAUCCUAGUACUGGUUUCAGGCUAGGGUACAACAGUACAGGUAAGUACCAGCAGUUGGCCAUAAAAUUUGUGAGAGUGAAACAGCGUUUUACUAUCAGGGAUGAUAACAAUAAUUGUGGUGAAACUCACGCGGCUAAACAGGAACUCAACCUUAGGAUCCCCUGACAAAACACAGCCACAGGCCACAGCAGCAUCAAACACAUGUGCCCUUAUUGUUUCGCCUAUGCGUUUAAAUUUUAAAACUUAAUUUAGAAAUUGAUUUUAUAGUUUUUUAUCAUAAUUUAUUUACAAUAUUUAAUUUUAAAUCGUUAAGAACACGAUAAAAUUUUGCUCAUCAAUUAGCUUUUUUACUAAUAAACGGUAAAAGAAAACAUUAGCAAAACAAUAAGACUCCAAUCACGUGCAACCGAGAUCAGGAUACUUUAUAGUGAUGAAUGAUAAACUCACGUAUCAGUAACAAAGUCUUCGUUCUUUUCAUGCCCAGGGAAGAAUAUUUCAUAGUUCACGCAAAACAAAAGGACUUGUUAGCACAUAAUGAAUUAAAUAUUUAAUUAUUGUAAACUUGAAAGAUGG
rnacentral:lncRNA from 1 species